rnacentral:lncRNA from 1 species
CGGGUUUACUCCAACCCGUGAUGCAAAACUCCGGAGCGCAUCGCCCGAGGUGGACCGACCGCCCUCGAGCACGGAACUCAUAGCAAGUAUGAUCGAUCCUUAACUCUAAGGAUGUAUCUCAUAAUAUUUUUAUUUAUUUUCACUUUUACAUUUAAAAUUCGGUAUGUUACAUUCCACCGCAACCUCACCGGAACUAUUUAAAUGUACACCGUAACUUCAUAGUUUUAGAUGUCUGAUACCUUACAACAUCGCUAUGGACUUCGUGGUCGGAUUACCCCAUUCGGCAGGUGGCCACGACGCGAUCUGGGUGAUUGUGGAUCGUAUGACCAAGUCGGCACACUUUCUACCGAUUCACACCACCUGGUCGGGCGAUAGAUUGGCGCAGGUGUAUCUCAAUAAGAUUGUGAGGUUACACGGGGUUCCGAAGUCGAUCGUGUCAGAUCGAGACCCCCGUUUUACUUCGCACUUUUGGAAAAACCUGCAAGAAGCACUUGGCACACGGCUCGAUUUCGGCACCGCAUUUCAUCCUCAGACAGAUGGACAGUCGGAAAGGACUAUACAGAUUCUGGAGGAUAUGUUGCGGGCGUGUGUCAUUGACUACAAGGGUAGUUGGGCAAACCAUUUGAGGAUGGCCGAGUUCGCCUACAAUAACAGUUAUCAAGCUAGCAUUGGGAUGGCACCGUUCGAGGUCCUAUAUGGACGGAAGUGCCGAUCCCCUAUAUGUUUGAGCGAUGUAGGUGAACCUGCGGCAUUAGGCCCCGAUGUAUUGCGGGAGGCUGAAGAGAAGGUCCGUCUCGCUAGCGAGAGGCUACUUACGACACAGUCGAGACAAAAGAGCUAUUCUGACAAACGCCGUAGAGACUUGAAAUUCGCGGUGGGCGACCGCGUUUUCUUGAAGGUUUCACCUAUGAGAGGUGUGAAACGCUUCGGAGUACGGGAAAAGCUAAGUCCCUGAUAUAUCGGGCCAUUCGAAGUGUUGGAACGUGUUGGAGCGGUAGCGUACCGACUUGCAUUACCACCGAAGCUCGCGGGGGUGCAUGAUGAAUUCCACGUUUCUAACCUUCGCAAGUAUGUUCCCGAUCCCGAGCAUGUUAUGUAUUACGAGCCGCCGGAUCUACAAGAGGAUUUGAGCUAUGAAGAGUUUUCGGCGAUGAUCAUUGCUCGAGAAGUGCGGAAGUUGAGGAACCGUGAGAUUCCCUACGUGAAGAUCCGUUGGACGGAUCACAACGAUCGUGAGGCUACAUGAGAACUCGAGGAAACGAUGAAAGUACAUUAUCCUCAUUUUUUUAUGGAAAUGCAAUGAGGUAUGAGUUAUUGAAUUCAUUUCGAGGACGAAACUCCUUUUUAGGAAAGGAGGAUGUAAGGAAGUAAAUUCUCGAAAUACGAGAAUUAGACUUCGUCCAGAAUCGACCAAGGGUCGUGUUGGUGAGCUUUGAAAAAGCCAAAGAUGUCAAAAUCACCAAAAGUGCAUUAGAAAUGAGUCCAUGAGAGCGAGUAGGGCAAAACCUGCACUGGAGCAAAAUUGCUCUCGGGGACCGGUCCCUGGCAGGGAGGGACCGGUCCCAUCGGCUGGUGGUUGCGGGGAUUCUUGAGGCAACCGGUCCCUGGCUGGGAGAGACCGGUCCUCGAACGUGACGCCAGCGAGAGAAAGCCAAAAUUGGCUAAGUCCCGAAGUCCCCACUCUCGGGAACCGGUCUCUCAGGAGGAACCAGCCUCCCGGGGACCGGUCUCUCUGGGAGAGACCGGUUCCCGAACGCGUGUGUGACGAAGUGAAUUCUCGAAAUACAAGAGUUAGACUUCAUGUAAAAUCGACCAAGGGUCGUGUUGGUAAGUUUUGGAAGAGCCAAAGAUGUUAAAAUCACCAAAGAUGCAUUGGAAACGAGUCCGCGAGAGCAAAUAGUGCGAAACUUGCACUGGAGCAAAACUGCUCUCGGGAACCGGUCCCGGGCUGGGAGGGACCGGUCCCAUUGGCUGGUGUUGCGGGAUUCCUUGAGGCAACCGGUCCCGGGCAGGGAGGGACCGGUCCCAUUGGCUGGUGUUGCGGGAUUGCUUGAGGCAGGGAGAGACCGGUUCCCGAACGUAAUCCCAGCGAGAAAAGCCAAAAAAUUGGCUAAGUCCUGAGAUCCCGGCUCUCGGGAACCGGUCUCUCAGGAAGAAACCGGUCUCCCGAGGACCGGUCUCUCUGGGAGAGACCGGUACCCGAACGCGUGACCCGAGCUGAAGCUCUCGGGGACCGGUCCCAAGUCGGGGAGACCGGUCCCUCCGCGCGCAGAAUGCCCAGUAAGGGCAGUGCACAGGGUGAAAAGUUGAGAGGGCCAGCUGGAUAUUGUUACAAUAAGAGGGCUUGUGGUCCCUCUCUCUUCCUCAGCCCCUCAUUUCCCUCUCUCCCUCACUCACACUCUCUCUCUCUCUAGAAGAAGAAAGAGAAAAAGAAGAAGAAGAAGAAAAGAAAAGGAAAAGAAGGAAGAAAAUGAAGGAGAAGAAGAAGGGGAUCAAGGAAAAGAAGCUUUUGGACUUCUCCCUCUUCCUCUUCUUUCUCUUUUGAGCUAACCUAGAGGUAAGCUUCUAACCCUAGCUUAUGAAAUUCAGGGUUUUUGGGUUUUAGCUCUUUGGAUGGGAUCAAAUGGAUCCCUAGCACCAUGAAUGGUAGGAUUGAAGCUAGAACCUAGGGUUUUGAGAUGGGUUUAGCUUAAUGCUAACCCUAGGGCACCAAAAUAGGGUUUUUGGUAAAGUAUGGGAUUGAUCUCAUUUGAGGCCUUGUAAACCUAAUUGCUAGGUAACGAAACGCCGGGGCGAAGUCAGUAAUUUCGAUUCGUCGAACGGGUCAAGAGCUAUCUACAAAAUAAGGCCGAUUUAGCAUCAUUUGGACUAAGAAGACCAAGGCUUCGCCGUAAAGGACGCUGAAGCACAUUUCUAGAGCCUCCGUAUACACGAAAGGUGGGGGGUGUCGUUCCGGAACAUCCGGGUUUCCUUUUAUGUCUGAGUUAACUAUAUUGAUCAUAUUGUGCUAUAGGAAUAGUAGUUGUACAUUUCCAUUCCUUGCAUGCUUCUUGGUAGUGUAGCGGGGUGAGCUUGACACGUGGACUAGGAUAGCAUGAGGAUUGGGUCUUGUGACAUAGAAUCCUAUAGCGGCAUAAAGAGCCGAACUUGGACAUAUGAUAGCCUAGUAGAGUGGCAUUGAACUAGUGUAGUAGAGACACUAAACUUGAACGAGUGGCAUGUCAAUUAGUAGGAAACUUACUACAAUGAUCGAACGAGUGGCAUUGAGUCCAGUAUAGUAAACUUGACAUGAACCUAGGGAUAGUAGAGGUCCCAACCUUGAUUAUAUAUCAUGACUGUGCAGCAGAGGCACAUUGACCCUAGUAGACAGGGUAUCCUCUUGUGAGGAUUGGAUCAUACUCACUAGUUUGUUUUGCUUGUCGGUGGUCACUCCACCGAAGCACGAGUCUCCGGAGUACUUCACUAGGGGCAGACGUAGUUGUCCCGCAGACGGUCUCGGUGUGCGAGUGCAGUUUCUCCUCACCCAUGAGAUUGAGAGUGAGUCGAGGGUUAACCUACGGGUCAACCAAGUAGAUUGGGUAAUAAACAUGAAAUGCAUAGUAGACUUGCAUUAUUACCUUGAGUAGACAUAGUGUAUGUUGUAGAUUACAUUGCUAUGCAUCUUUAUAUACUCAUGACAUGAUUCUAGCAUGUUAGUAGUUGUUGCAUGCAUUAUCAUCAUCGAUGGCAUGAUAGAGUAGUUACAGUUUACCUCUUUAUAUAUCUAUCUAUCUCUCUAUCUGUGCCAGCUUAGACCUAGUGGAAAAACCGGCGGCGUCGGCGGCCGAACCCACUGGGAACUAUAUUUAUAUAGUUCUCACCCCGUGCGGUUUUGGGGUACAGGUACACACAGAGGCGAGCCGAGCGAGGAUCGCGGCAAGGGCAUAGCGCCCUAAGUAAGCAUAGUUAGUAGCUUUCCUUUAUGCAUUAGAGUUCCCUCGUGUAUUAGAUGUUUUGGAUAGAUAUUGGAAAACCAUGGUGUAUUUUGAGAACAUAUAUUUACAUUUGGUAGAUGGAAAUGUAAUAUAUUCAAAUGAUGUAAAUGUUGAAUGGUUGUAUUAGUUAGAUGUACUCUCUUUAUACACUUGUAUUUCACUCGUGGUUCUUGCUCUUAGCUAUUGUACACUCGUGUGCAUCGUAUCGAUCAUGUAUGUUAUUUAAGCAUUCCCUGGGCACUUAACUGUACAUGAUCAGGUUGUUUGGCCUUAGGCGGAUAUGAGAGGUGCUGUCCGUUCGGCGUCUCUUCGACGUGCCCAAACCGGACCAAAUUGGUAGAGGUUUCGGGGCGUGACAGCGUGACCCGGACUAAGGCUCUCGGGGAGCGGUCCCAGGUCGGGGAGACCGGUCCCUCUGGGCGAAAAAUGCCCAAUAAGGGCAAUGCACAGAGAUGAAAGUUGAGGGGUUUGUUUGGAUAUUGUUACAUUAGAGGGGUAUGUAGGCCCCCUCUCUCUCUCCAACCCUCAUUUUUCCCUCACUCUCUCACACUCUUUUCUCUCCUUCUCUCUCUCUCUAGAAAGAAAAGAGAAGGAAGGAGAAAAAGAAGGAAGAAGAAGAAGGAGAAGAAAAGAAGAAAGAAAAGGAAGGAGAAGAAGAAGGAGAUCAAGCUAAGAAGGCUUUGGACCUCUCCCUCUUCCUCUCUUCUCAUUUGGAAGCUACAACAAGAGGUAGGCUUCUAACCCUAGUUGUGGAAUUUAGGGUUUUUGGGUUUUAGCUCUUUGGAUAGGAUCAAAUGGAUCCCUAGCACCAUGAAUGGUGGGAUUGGAGCUAGAAUCUAGGGUUUUGAGAUGGGUUUAGCUUGAUGCUAUCCCUAGGGCUCCAAAAUAGAAUUUUUGGUAAAGUAUGAGAUUUAUCUCAUUUGAGACCAUGUAAACCUAAUUGCUAGGUGUCUAAACGCGGGGGCGAAGUUGGAUUUUUGAUUCGUCAAGCGGAAGAAAAGAUAUCGGCAAAAUAAGGCCAACCAAACUUCGUUUCGACCUAAGGAAGCCGAGAGGCCAUUGUAACGUCCGUUGGGGGGCAUUUAUAGAGCCUCCAUACCCUCAAGAGGUGAGGGGUGUCAUCCCGAAGCAUCCGGAUUUCUUUUUAUGUCUAAAUUAUAUAUACAUUGAUAAUAUUGCAUUAUAGGAUUAAUAGAUAUUUUUUUUUUUCCUUGCAUGCUUCUUAGUAGUGUAACUUAUGAGUCGAACACAUGGACUAGGGUAGCAUGAGGAUUAGGUCUUGUGACAAGGAAAUCCUAUGAUGGCAUAAAGAGCCGAACUUGGAUAUAUGAUAGCCUAGUAGAGUGGCAUUGAACUAGUGUAGUAGAAACACUAAACAUGAACGAGUGGCAUGUCAAUUAGUUACAGAACAUUACUACGAUGAUCGAACGAGUGGCAUCGAGUCUAGUGCAGUAAAAAUGACAUGGUUCUUAGGAUAGUAGAGAUCCCAGCAUCUAGGAUGCAUUGUAUAUUGUGCAGCAGAGGCACGUUGACUCUUGUAGAUAGGGUAUCCUCUUGUGAGGAUUGGAUCAUACUCACUAGUCUGUUUUCGCUGUCGGUGGUCGCUCCACCGUAGCACGAGUCUUCGGAGUACUUCACUAGGGGCAGACGUAGUUGUCCCGCAGACGGUCUCGGUAUGCCAGUGCAGCUUCUCCUCACCUAUGAGAUUGAGAGUUAGUCGAGGGUUUAACCUACGGGUUAGCCAAGUAGAUUGGAUAAUAAACAUGAAAUGCAUAGUAGAUUUGCAUUAUUACCUUGAGUAGACAUAGUGCAUGUUGUAGUUUGCAUUGCUAUAUACUUUUCUAUACUCAUAACAUGAUACUAGCAUGAUAGUAGUUGUUGCAUGCAUUGUUAUCAUUGGUGGCAUGAUAGAGUAGCCGCAAUUCAUUUCUCUAUAUAUCUAUCUAUCUCUCUAUCUGUGCCAGCUUAGACCUAGUGGGAAAACCGGCGGAGUCGGCGGCCGAACCCACUGGGAACUAUAUUUAUAUAGUUCUCACCCCAUGUGGUUUUGGGGUACAGGUACAUACAGGGGCGAGCNUUUCCUAUUGUAUUUACUUUAUGUCUUAUUUAGUGGAUUUACAGUUUAUCCUCAUCCUUGGUUGUAGCAUUUAGACAUUUAUUAAGCUCUGAUACUCCUAGAUGUCUUUUAUUAUUGCUUUUAUUAUUGUUAUUUUUAGACGCCUUAUAUGUUGUAGACAUAUGGCGGGUCUGGGCACGCGCCGGGCGGGCUUCCGCUGUGCCCCGGGGCGUGACAGGGUGGGGGCAUGACAAUCGAUACCACUGUAGGGGGCGCAGGAUGCUCAGCCUCCACUUGUGCCGCCGCCGUCUGCUGCCGCUCCAAGGCCUCCUGGAGCCUUUGGAUUUGCUCCCCUUGGCGUUGAACGGACUCCGUUUGUUGCCGCACUACGCCAAUAAGCGCGGCCAUCUGCUCCCGAAGCUCCCCGUCGCCACCUACUCUGGGUUGCACGGGAGCCGCACUUGGCUCCUCGGCCAUAGACCUCGUUCGCGGUGGACCACGAGGCAUCCUAGGUUGUCCACAAGGUGGCAUUGCUUCCUGAACUGAAGCAAUUCACAUUAGUUACUCGCUACUAUACUCGAACAUACCCAAUUCGGCGAAAGCAACAAGUGUAUUUAUUUUCCUUCCAAAGCAUCAUGUCGUCGGCCGCCGAUCACAACACAUGGAAAAGAAAACAAAUAUCAUCUUAGAUUUAGUCCCUAACCACACUAGAGACAUAUUAACAUUAACUCAAUCAUAAGCUUUCGCUAUAGUUUGAUUCCACGUCGCUCACGUUUCUUAGAUCCUUAAGGUUUUCCAUUCCUAAGGGUCUCUAGGUCCAUCCUAUACUUUCACUUUUUCGCUCUUUAGUCUCUGAUACCAUUAUGUAUGUCACGCCCCGCGCCCGAUCCUUUUGGCCGGUUCGAGGGCGUCGAACAGAUGCCAAAUGGACAGAGCCUCCUCUGUUCGCCCAAGGCUCAACAACAGGUACUGAUAGAGUAUAAAAUUUGCACUUGCGGAAGCAUACAUAAUGGCUUGCACGAGGGCAAGCAAUAGCCAAAGUGAAAGGACUAACUAAACAAGUAAACAAGUAAUAUGAUUAACUUUAAAUCACAUACAUGUGUUCUACUUCAGAUUCUUUUACAACCUUUGCAUCAUUUCUUUUUACAUCGCAAGUUCUCCAAAAUAUGCCUUUGCACGAAGACCCGGGUGGUGCGACCACCACAAGUAUGAACAGACUGUGAGUAUGAUCAAUCCUCUCAACUCGAGGAUACCCUACUGGCUAGGGCUACAAGUCACUCGGGAAUCCACCUAUCCCAAAGCCCAAAUAUGAAUGUUUGGCUAUAUUAUGUUCUUGUCCAACGAGCCAUUUACUAGGGAAUCCACCUAUCCCUAUGUUCACAUGCCACUAGUGUCAUUUACACUAAGUUACAUGCCACUCGUUCUUGUUUGAUUAACAGUCAAUACCACUCAUUACGUCUUUAACAAUCAUCGAGUUCAUCUCUUUUCUCAGCAUAAUAGAAUUCAAUGUCAAGACCCAAUCCUCAUCUAACCAUCAUCAUGCAUUCAACGCAUACAUUGAUAUCUUUAGCAACAAUAAGGAAUGGAAUAACAUGCAAUCCUACAAUGCAACAUCCAAGAGAUGCAGAUUAUGAAGUACUAAGACAUAGAGAGGAACCCGGUUGCUUCGGGAUGACACCACCCACCUUUCGACGAUGUCACGCCCCGGGACCGGCGGAGGCCCUCCCGGUAGCGUGCCCAGACCCGCCAUAUGUCUACACAUAUAAGGCGUCUACAAUAAAAGCGGAAGUAAAAGCAAGUAAUAAAACAAUAGAAGAAGUGAAAUAACUAACAACUAAUGAUAUCAGAGCAAAUAUAGUUCUAACAUCUACACCAAGGUAAAGAAGUAAAGCUAGUCAAUAAAGGGGGUCAUAAGUAGUACAGAAACGGUGGUCUCUAAUACACUGGUAGAACUCUCAACCUCUCGCAAAAAGAAAUAAAAAAAUCGAGAGGCAGACCACCUAGCAACUCGUCCUCGAAGGAAGCUAGCUCGAAGCAACUCCCUUCCCGCGAUCCCUGNCUCGGUAUGCCAGUGCAGCUUCUCCUCACCUAUGAGAUUGAGAGUUAGUCGAGGGUUUAACCUACGGGUUAGCCAAGUAGAUUGGAUAAUAAACAUGAAAUGCAUAGUAGAUUUGCAUUAUUACCUUGAGUAGACAUAGUGCAUGUUGUAGUUUGCAUUGCUAUAUACUUUUCUAUACUCAUAACAUGAUACUAGCAUGAUAGUAGUUGUUGCAUGCAUUGUUAUCAUUGGUGGCAUGAUAGAGUAGCCGCAAUUCAUUUCUCUAUAUAUCUAUCUAUCUCUCUAUCUGUGCCAGCUUAGACCUAGUGGGAAAACCGGCGGAGUCGGCGGCCGAACCCACUGGGAACUAUAUUUAUAUAGUUCUCACCCCAUGUGGUUUUGGGGUACAGGUACAUACAGGGGCGAGCGGAGCGAGGAUCGCAGCAAGGGCAUAGCGCCCUAAGUGAGCUUAGUUAGUAGCUUUUCCUUUAUGCAUUAGAGUACCCUCGUGUACUAGGAGAUGUUUGGAUUGUUAUCGAAGAGCUACUUGUAUUUUGGAGAAAAACAUGUAUUUACAUUUUGGAAGAUAAAAAAUGUAAUAUAACUAACUUAUGUAAAUGUUGAAUGGUUGUAAUGGCUAGACUUAUCUCUCUUUAUACAUUUGUACUUAUACUUGUGGUUCUUGCACUUAGCUGAAUUGCACUUGUGUGCAUCGUAUUGAUCAUGUAUGUUAUUUAAGCAUUUCCUGGGCGCUUAAUUGUACUUGAUCAGGUUGUUGGGCCUUGGGCGAGCAGGGGAGGUCCUGUCCGUUCGGCGUCCGUCCGCCGCGCCCGAACCGGGCCAAAUUGGUAGCGGUCUCGGGGUGUGUAGCACACUAGACCUUUGCAAAUUGCGAGGUUCGAGUGUUCGAUGUGUAUUCCGAACUCUUCCACACUUGGUGGAGGGCCGUCGAUGGUGUAUCGGCCUAAAAGUUCGNGAAACAUGAAACCAAAUCUCAUAUAGAAUGCUAAAUGCAACCAACUCUCUCUCAAGCAACUCUCUACUACAUAGAGGUCCGAAAUUUCAUUACAUAUAACGUGGGCAUUUUAAGCACUCUAAAAUUCAUAAUAAAUACACUUGAUAUGAAAAUGCAUGAGUUAUUGGUAAACAAAGCACUUAUCACCAAAUAUGAGAUCUUCUCAUAUCAAGGCUAGGUCAAACCCACCAAAAUCGAAACUUUCGUUUCGCCGAACGGAGAUUUCCACAAGCUUCCUAGCACCCUAGGAACAUCAAACAUGGUGUCAUCCCAUCGAUACGAAGAGCAAUAAGCUCAAUCUUUAACAUAGAAGCAAAAAGGCCAAAACUCACCUCAAGAGUAGAAAUCUUCUUCUAAGCUCCAAAACAGAGCUAGAACCCUUCCAAUCCAAGUCCUAGGAAGGUUCUAAACCAACCAAUCAAGCCUCAAAAGCCCUAGGUUCAAAAAGCCCAAAAAUAAACCCUAAGUCUCAAAACUAGGGUUUCAUCUCAAAGGAAGUUCUAAAAUCCAAGACUAGAGGAAAGGAUCUUGCCACUUACCUCUUAGAAGCCUCAAAACCAGCUCAAAGUCCUCAAACUUCAAGUAUCUUCCCUCAAUCAAACUCCAAACCCAAGCCCCAAGCUUCAAAAAUGGUGGAAAUAGCUCCAAAAGGCAAAAGAGAGGGAAAAACCAUCAAAAUCCAAGCUAGAAUGAGAUCAAAACCAAAAAGGGGUGAAGGGGAGAGGUGCCCUACCUGAUUCCCCACUCUUCUCAGCUCAGGAGAGAGCCCUAGGGGCGUGGGUGCUGAUAUAAGAAGCCCACAAUUGCGAAAAACCCCCUGCAGUUCAAACUGCUCAGAAUCUGCACUGCGUACCGGUACACGGGCCCGCGUACCGGUACGCCUCCUACGAAAAUGCCCAGCCCAAGCCUCGGGUCGGCUGAGAAUAGGCUGAAAAUCGGCUGAUAAUCGGCUGAAAAUCGGCUGAUAAUCGGCUGAAAAUCGGCUGAUGUCGAUGGCUGUACCGGUACAGCCGUCACUCCCGUACCGGUACACAGUCCUCCGAAUGCAACCCGAGAGCUAUCCAAAAAUCUGAUUUUUCGGGUUUUCGUGCUCGGCUUUAAACCUCACUUCUCGGGAUGCGAGCCAUAGGUCGGAACACUGUCAACGACCCACCAGAAAAUCUGGAAAAACUCGGGACACUGUCCAAACACUCGAACCUCGCAAUUUGCAAAGGUCCAGUGCGCCACAGACGAGGUCGGAGUGCAAAGACACUAUUUGGCACUUGCUUCAACGUCGCUUCGACCUCCUAGAUAGAAACGAAGCUCGAUCGGUCUUAUUUUGCCGAUAACUUUUUACCGACUCGACAAAUGCUCAAUUCGGCUUCACCAACGCGUUUAGACACCUAUCAAUUAAGUUUAGAUUCCAUCAAUUGAGAUCAAACCUGUAAUAUACCAGAAAUUCAAAAAAUAAAUGUCGAACUUUAGUCAAAUUGACCAGAGUGCGAGGUUGGUACCCUUCGGAAAGUUCGAAGGUGUUAAAAUGAGUAAAAUAGUAUUGUGGGAGGUUUUCGAGAGCUAAAGAAUCAAAAAUCUUCAUUCUGCAGGUUUUGAGCUCUCUGGGACCAGUCCCUUGUGGGAGAGACCGGUUCCCGAACGCGUGAGAAAUGAGAAAGCUGAAAAAUCGACUAAGUCCCAGAAAACCAGCUCUCGGAAACUGGUCCCUGCGGGGAGAGACCGGUCCCUCUGGGAGAGACUGGUUGCAUCGCGCGGGGGCCCUGGCUGCCCACGGGGAGAGCUCUCUCGGACCGGUCCCAGGUCGGGAAGAUCGGUCCCCGAGCACGAAAAUGGCCCAGUCCAGGCAGCGUAAUAAGAUAAAAGUUGAGGGGCUUAUUUGCAUUUAUGCAAUAUAUGGGUUAUGUUAUGAGAGGUUAUGGGAUAUUUCUCUCAUUCCCUCCCUCUCAUAUAAUCUCUCCUCUCUUUCUCUCUCUAGAAGACAAGAAGGAGAAGAAGAAGGAAAUAAAGGAAAGGAAAGAAAGAGAAGAACAAGAAGACAAAGGUGGAGAAGAAUACCAAGGAGUGGAGCAACUCCUUCUUCUUCCUCUUUGGAGCAAAGAAGGGAAAGCUUUGAGGUAAGCUUUGACCCAUUUCAUGGUAAAACCCUAAAAUGAGAACCAAAUUAACCUAGGAAUGAUUUUGGUAGAGCCUCUUGGGUAUUACAAGCUUUCUUAUGCUUACUAAUGAGAUCAAAACCAUGGAUUGGGUGUAGGUGGUGAAGCUUAGAGGUAAUGUCACGCCCUGGGACCCAGCGGAAGCCCGUCCGGCGCGUGCCCAGAUGUGACGCACUGGACCUUUGCAAAUUGCGAGGUUCGAGUGUUUGAUCUGUGUGACGAGCCAUCUCAGACUUUCUGAAGGGUCGUAGGCAGUGUUCCGACCCAUGGUUCGAGUCCCGAGGAUUGUGGAUUGGAGCGGUGUACCAAAAUCCAAAAAGUUGGAUUUUUGGUUAGCUCUCGGGUUGCCUUCAGCGGGCUGCGUACCGGUACGGGUUCGCUUGCUGUACCGGUACNAAGGCCCAAAGCUACAAAGAAAGUGGUCAGUAGCUAUAAAAGUAAUAAAGCGAAAGGUAAGUAAAAGUGUAACUUACUAUAACCAGAUGUCUCUACUUAGCAUGAUAGGCAUAAGAAUAAGCAACUAUAAUAUAAAUGUACAUGGAUGUGUAUACAUGAAUACCCAUAGGUAUGCAAUCAAUACGAUGUCCUCAAUGCAAUUAGUAAAGAUGUCAUUGUUUACUAUUCUAGUCGAUGCCCAGUCAAUAUACUAAGUCAUCAUCUGUCCACAUGUCAUAGUGAAUACUCAAAGUCAAAUCUGAAGAGACCCACCCGAAGGUUGUCUAUGGCCCUGAGACCCACCCGUAGGCUGUCUGGCCGAUGCCGAGCCUAGUGGCCCUGUGGUAGUCAUCAUCUCCACCCUAGGAAUGAGCCUAGCCCACGGCAAUUCACUUCGGCACCCAAUCCCGAACGGCGAAUAUAAAUCGCGAUGGCCAUCUCCGGAGUGCCGGCUUGUAGGGAGCGACCCUCACAAGCAUGUGCGAAUGAGCACAAUGGCAAGUAGUCAUAUGUCCUGUCACAAGUACCAAGUCCUCAUGUCUAGCUAAUAACAUGGAAUGUAUCGAAUGUCCCAAAGGCCUAUCUCUAUGUCAUCAUGUCUCUAACAUGGAAUAUAUAGUAGAUGUACAAUGGCCUAACAUUAUGUCUCUAUGUUGCGGUUUCAUAGUUUACUAGUUUCAAGUGCCUCUUGAUGACCCUUCAUGCUACUAAGUCCAAACAUAGUAUAAUGUUUCCAAUACGCGAAUAUGAGCUAAUUCAGCAUACAAGACGAGAAUCCCAUUGGUCCAUAUGAACACUCCUCACAUGCAUGAAAAUAACCCUGAUUACUCUACUGUAUAGAGUGAAAUUUAACUUACACAUAAGGCAUGCAUUUUAAGUGUUGUAAAAUUCAAAUAAAUUUCAAUUAGCAUAGAAAUGCAUUCAAAAAUAUAUUACAACAAGUAUAGAGAAUAUAGGGGCCAUUUUGCCUCUUUUCCACGAAGCCAAACCCACCGAUUUUUCGAACUCUUCGUUUCGCCGAACGAAAGUGUCCACUAGCCUCCUAGUACCCUAAGGAUGUAGGAACAAGUGUUAUCCAAACGAAACGAACAACAGAUUGCUCAAUCAUUAACCAUUCCGGGCUAGGGUUGAAGAAAACUCACCGAUUGCGAAGGAAGCUCUCUCGAUCUCAAAAGGGAAGUUAGAGUCCUUCCAAUCUAACCUAAACAAAGAUUCUAAACCCAUCAAUUAGGUUUCAAAGCCCUUAAAUCAAAAAUCCCCAUUUCUAGCCCUAGAAUCCAAAAUCUAGGGUUUCGAUCAAAAGAACCAUCAAAACAUGUACCAAAAGGGAAAUACAUGUUACUAACCUCUCUAGAAGCUCCAAACUAGGCUCCAAUCCAAAUGGGGUUGAAGAUCCUCCCUCCACAAAGCUCCAAUCCCGAGCUCAAGGCUUCUCUCAUGGAGGAAACCCAAAAAGAAGCAAGAAAAGCAAGGAGGAGGAGAUCAAAACCUACCAAAAUCCAUCAAAAAUGGAAAAAAUGGAAAGAAAACUCAAAGAGGGAGAGUCUCACCUUGUCUCCACAGAACUAGGGCUCAAAACCCUGUCUAAGGGGGCUGGGGUCACUUAUAUAGGGGUUGCAACAAUUGCAAAAAUACCCCUCCACGAAAACAGCCCACUCUGCACUGUGUACCGGUACACGGGUUUGUGUACCGGUACACCACCCACGAAAAGCCAAACUCGAGCCUCAGGUUUGCUGGGAAAUAGCCUAUGUACCGGUACACAGGCCCGCGUACCGGUACAACCAUCACCGCGUACCGGUACAGCCAUCAAGUCUGUACCGGUACACUGCCCUCUGAAAGCUAACCGAGAGCUAACCAAAAAUCUAACUUUUUGGAUUUUGGUGCACAGCUUAAAACCUCCAUUCUCGGAACUCGAACCAUAGGUCGGAACACUGUCGACGACCUACCAGAAUGUUUGGAAAAGCCCAGAACACAAUCAAUCACUCGAACCUUGCAAUUUGCAAAGGUCCAGUGCAUUACAGGUAAGCUUCCUCCCCUCUCAUGGUAGAACCCAAACUAGGGUUUGGAUUGAGCUAAUAAUGGUUUCUAUAGAACCUUAGAGUAAUUGAAGCUCUCUUUUGCUUCCUAAUGAGAUCAAACCCUAGGUUUUGUAUAUGUGUUGGAGCUAGGGCACCCAAAUUGGGGCUUUUGCUUGUGAGGGUUCCAAAGUGAAAUUGACCAUCUAGAAACCUAAUUUGGGGUAUUUUCGAUGCGUUUGUGCGCUCGGUUUAACGUUACGAAAAGCCUAUGUAAAGUUAUGAGCGAAGUGGCCUAAUAUGGCUUCGUUUUGCUGCAGGUAGCGAACUAGGUGGCUAAAAAUCCCGAGAAAUUCACAGUAACACCUAAGAAAGCCUACGAGGUGGGUGGUGCUCUCCAAACUUGUUGGAAUUACCUUUAUGUCUAAUGUGUCACUUCUUGAGCAUACUUAUGUACAUUGUUGCAUGCAUAAUUAGGGUAAUGAGAUUAUAAAUAUGUGAAUGUUUGCAUUUUGUGAGUUUAAGUGCAUCAUGAGAUGGUCGAGGACCAAUGAGAAUGUAAUAACUCUAUAUGUGCAUGUAAAAGAGAUAAGAACUAAGUAAAGUUAAAGAACAAGUGACAUAUGACAUGAAGACAAUGAAAUGUGAGAAUGAAAGCUAGAGUUAGCAUAAAGAUUGACGUAAAGAACACUAGAGCUAGUGUGUGGCAUCAGAGAGAACAAAAUGUGGUAUAAAGAAAGAUAAAAGCUAGAGUUAGCAAAUGUGUGGCAUUAAAGAAUGAUAAUUAUUAGAGUUAGUAACAAAAUGUGGCAUAAAGAACAAUGGCUAAAGAUAGCAUUAAAUGUGUGGCAAAGAACACUAGAGUUAGUGUAAAAACAUGAUGAAAGUAAAGAAUGCAAAGAAUACUAGAGUUAGUGUAGUGACAUGGUCAAAGUAAAGAAUGCAAAGAACAUGAGAUUGACACAAUGACAUUCAACCUUAAAGCUAAGGGCCAUUUGUGCAAAAUUUCUUAGAGUUAAGGAACAGAUUGAACUGAACAUCCUUAGAGUUAAGGAUUGAUCAUACUCGCUAUAAGUCCUUAUUCGAGGGCGGUAGCUCUCCCUCGGGCGAUGCGUUCCGGAGUUUGUCAUCACUGGGUUGGUGCUGUUCCCCAGAGGACGGUCCUAGCGGGAGAAAGCUGAGGGCCUGCGAUCAUGGAUUUUGAGUUGGUGAGUUAAUGAGGCGAUACCCCCGGAUUAGCCUUGAGAUUGAACGAAAGAAUAAAGAACAAAGAACAAAGACCAUGCAUUCUUCAUGAGUUAGAUUGAGCAUCAUUUUUUAUCGCAUUAUUCAAGCAUAUUAGUUACAUUUGUAUAGUUUGCUACUUUUCAGCUUAUUCUUUCUAUUAUGCCUGAGUUAGACCUAGUGGGAAAGUCAGUAAGAUUGGGGCCGAACCCACUAGGAACUUCGUUGUAGUUCUCACCCCACUUUUUCCACAGAGCCGGGACCGAGCAAGCCGACGAGCGACUGCGGUAAAGGUAUCGCGCCAUAGUCAGUGACUACCCGAGUUGGGUUUGCAUUUUGUAGUAGCAUUUCCCCUACUUCAUCUUUGUAUUUGAUGAAUUGAGAUGUAAAAGAAAAGAAUGUAAUAUUUAUCUCGAGGAGAAUGUGAUGUAAAAAGAAAUGAUGAAAAGUAUGUAAAGAACUAUGAAUGUACAAGUUAAAUGCAAUGUAUGUGAUCACAAGAGAAUCAUAGUACUUGUGUAGAUGUUUAGUUUCCUUUCUUUCACUCAUGACUAUUGCUUACCCUCGUGUAAGCCGUUUGUGUAUGUUUCCACUAGUACUUUUCUCUACUUGAAAAUGUACAGGUGAUAAGCCUUGGGCGAGCAGGAGAAACUCUGUCCGUUCGGCAUCUGUUUGACGUGCUCGGGCCGGCCGAAAUUGGUAUCGGUUUCGGAGCAUGACAGAUAUUGUGAUAUCAGAGCCAAAGUGAAAGAAUAAGAAUGGACCUACAGACCCUUAGGACUGGCAAGGACUUAAGGAUCUAGGAAACGUGAGUGAUAUGGAAUUAAAGUUAGCGAAAGCAUGCAAUUGGGUGAAGUUGUUUUGCCUUACAAUACUCACUGUUUUUAGUGCACGCACUGGUGACGGGGUUAAUCGGAUGGCAUUGUCCCAAUGCCUCUCUGAAUGGGGUGGGUAUAAGGUGACUGAAAUGAGCUACAGGAUGGGCAUAGCGUAGAAGAUUUCAAACUUGUCACGGGUUUCUAGCGGAUUUGUAUUUAAAGAUUGGCACCCAUCUCAAAUCAAUCCCAUUCUGAUAACUUUGUUAAUAUAUGUAGUGUUGAUAAAAUUAAAUUUUAAUAUCCAAAACAAAAUGCUAAAAUCACACCGAUUUUUACAUAUCUUUUUAUAAAAAAAUUUAUGUUGCAAUUAUUAGGAUCUAAUCUCUGUCUUGUUUUACGAAUUCCUUAACCAAUUAUUAGAGUCCAUCGCAGCACAUGGCCCAAAUUCUUAGGGUUUCUGAUAGUGUCCAAAAGCGAACCCAAGAGAGAAAAUUUUAUGGAAAGAUUAUAUUAAUUUUUCUUGCAUCUUGUAUGUGGCCAAUAUCUCAUAUAUUUAUAGGUCAUAAAAAAGACGUUAAUCCUAAUCCUAUUCUAACUGAAUCUCAUAUAGAUAGAAAUUUGAACAGAUUAGAAUCUAUCUCUUAAAUUUAUUCCUUUAUCCCAUAUGGAUUAGGAAUAUUUUAGAUAUGUUUUAAUAUUUAUUUCUUAUCCCAUAUGGAUUAGAAAUAUUUUAAAUAAAUCCAAAUGUGGACGAAUUCCAAUAUGUAUAAUAUUUAGUAUUGUUAACCUAUUAUAUAUGAAUUAGUUGCUUUGUAGUUGAAGUGCGAUAACCUUUAAACGGGUUAGGUGGUAUGAGACCAAAACUUUCAGAACAGGGUUUGGAACUAGAAGGGCAACUUUCAACUCGACGGCGUGUGGAUCUCGGUCUGGGUCUGGGUCUGGGUCUGGGGCCCCAUUUAUCUUUGGCCGGCACAGAAAUAAGCUGCUCGACGGGAUCCUCUCGAGAUGCAUAAAAUCAAACAACUGAAAUUAAAUGUUUACCUUAUAGCCGGGAGAUGACACGUUUGAAUCUUUCUUAAGAUUAUGACUACUUCCCGUUAUGGAUUUGCAAUAUUAUCAUCGCCCAGCCCAAAUUAAAGUUUGGUUGAGACUUACAAUAUAUACUAGUAAGGGUACAUUUGGUUUCCUAAGAGUGGUUAAAAUAAAAAAAUUAUUAUUUUUAUAAAAGUGACUAUUAUAAAAAUAACUUUGAAUUAUAUUAUUUGGUUGGGUGCAAAGUCAAAAUAAAAAAUUAUAGUUUUGUGGUUUUGAUUAUUUAAUUAUAAAUAAAGGGGAGAAAAAUAUAAACAAACAACUGAUACUUGUAAUUUAAAUUUAAAUCUAAAUCUAAAUUUGAAUGCAAAGUUAAAUUUUAAAUUUUAAAUUUUAAUUUAAAUUUAAAUAUGAGUUAAAUUUAUAAUUAAAAUUGAAGGCAUACAAUUAAAUUUGUAAUUUGAAUUGAAAAUUUACGUUAUAACUCAUAACUGAAAUUAAAUUUUAAAAUUAAAUUUCAACUAAUAAAUUUAAAAUUGGAAUUCAAGUUUCGAUAGAUAAUUUGAACUUAGUAGUUCGAAAUAAUUUGAAUUCGAAGUUCAAAUUGAAAUUUUUUGGCUAUAAAUACUUUGAAUAGAAUUUAAAUUUGAAUAUUUUUAUUUAAAUUUAAAUUUAAAUUUUCAAACUACAAUUUAAAUUUGAAUAAUAAUUUAAAUUUAAGCCUUAAAUUUAAAAAUAAAUUUGGAAAUUUGAAUAUAAAAAUUGUGUUAAUUUUGAAGCUACAAAUAAAAUUCAAAAUGUGAAAUUAAAUUCAUGAUUUUAAAUCAGAUUUAAAGUGGAAAUUCAACUCUAAAAAUAAAUCCAAAUAUUAAAAUUAAGAGCUCUCCAUUUCCGUGUAACCAAGUAUGCCCUAACAAGCAAAAGGAACCAAGUCAAAAACAAAUAACAUUGUAGCAUAAGCUGAGGGAUUUAGGGCCCCUCGGAAUUGGGCGAAGAAUGCAUUAUGUGGUUAAGGAAAAGUACAAUUGUUUCCACAAGUUAUAACGACGCCGUGCAAAUUGCAGUGGUUCAGCACGCGAUAUUAUACCAUACCACGUCAGCAUUAAUAAAUUAUACUUUGCAGUGGUUCGGCAUACGAUAUAAUCAGCAUAUUUCUUAAUAAUUAUACUACGUGGCACUAAUUGCGGCAAUUCAGUAGAAGAUAUUUUUUUCUUCGAUCCUGUUCACAAAAAGAGAAAAGUUUACCUCUACGGACUACACUGAAAACUCCUUUUUGGUCCAACAGCAUCAGGCACGCAUGCAUGCAUAAUUAGAAUAGAUUUUGGCUGACCGUGAAAAUACCUACGCUAGCCCCUCAAUGUUGGCAUAGAGGCCACCUGACAAUAGUACUUAGAUCCAACUUUAUGCGUAAAUGAGAUGUUAGCAGCAGAUCUAACGACGAAAAAUAAGCCUCCCACAAUCUCACACUCAAGUGCCACAGGUAUUAUUACACAAUAUUUUCUUCACAAUCAUUCACAGAAAACACCAAAGCCGCUAUCUCUUGGGGAUCAUCUAAUGUACAAAAUUAGAUGAUAUAUUAUCUCAAAAGCACAUCUUAGGGUAUGUGCCAAUCUUCAAGGCAGUCAUACAUUUAGAUAACUGUCAAAUAUUCACGUAAGUUCCCAAGAAGAUGACGAGUAUAUAAAACCCUAAAGUAGCUGUUACACAUUUACAAAAGGUGUAUCUAUGGUAAUACACUAGACGGACAUUUAUGAAAGCACAUCUAGCGUAACCCCAUGGUGAUAAUAAGUAUAGACUUUUCACAACAGACGAGACCAGACUGUACUUAAACACUUGCAGUAUCCAGCAAAAUCCAAGUUUGGGCUGAAAAAAUCUUGUUUAACAAAUCCUUCAUAAGACGCAUCUCAAAUUAUGCGACAAAAAAGAGGAUCAGCUUUGUAUAGAAGUAAAAAAUAUGGAUCUUAUGACUUGUUUUCGGAGUUGGAUUCUGACUGCAGCCUCUGGUGAAUUUGAUUGCGCAAGAUACUCAUAUAUUCCUAGAAGAGCAAAAAAAUUGACGGGAUGUAAUAUAGAAUUUAGAGGCAUCAAACAAAAUGCAACAAGAAUUAUUCUUUAAUCACUUCAAAUACUGUUAAAAAAUAAAAACUAUAUGCAUGAAAAAGAUUCGAUACUCAUUUGUUGGUGAGCAGCGCCCACAGAUGUCAAAAUCAAUAAUAAAACGAGACAAGAUGUCCUACUAUCAUAACAUAUGCGUUCUAGGAACAACAGUUGCUACCUCGGCAAAUGGAAUGAGACCAUUACACAAGUAAAAGAGAAUUAUAUUACUCAUAAAACUAGUAAAGAUUAGGUCUAUAGUAUGUUGGUAGAUUAAAAUGUAUGGUAAGAAGGUAGCAGCAAAUCUAACUUUAGAUCACAAAAAAGGAUCUUUGGUAUCCAACAUAUGUCACAUUUCCUUCUAUUUGGGCAAAGUUAAUACGUUUAACAGUCUCAAAGCCAUCAAGCAAUGACUACUCCUAUUGGGAAGCAAAGAACAUUAUCUUUCAGAACUUCAGAUCAAAUAGAUGGCCAAUGUUAGAGUUCAACAAGGAAAUAAGAACCAAAAGUCUACAAUAGCGAUCUAUGCCAACAUAGGGAUAUCAGAUGACUCGAUCACACUUGGAAGACAAAUCAUAUUAAUUCCUGGUACAUUCAAAGCUAGUUGUCACGGACAAAAUGUUUCCCGCUGACUUCUCCUUGACAGUGGCCCAACUCUGCUAGCGAAACGGGUUGAAAAUGGAUUGAAUCGGAUUGUCAAGGAGACCCAAAUCCAAACCGCUGUGGGGAGACAAAGGGUUUUGUAGUUCUCCCAUCAAUGAUGAAAACUCAAAGGGUUAUGAAACUCUCAUGAGUUAUGGAGUGACUUUUGGGCUUAUGGCUCAUUAUGAGGGUGAGUUAAUGUAUCUCAUAAUGAGAGAGUUAGUGUGUGUCUAGGUUCAUUGUAUCUAGGAGCAUAUAAGUAGUGGGGUUUGGCUAAGGUCAAAACACACAAGAGAGAGUGUGUAUAUGAGUUGUAAUUCUCAUUUUCUAAGUAGUGUAGUACUUAGCUUUUUGAGAGAACCUCUGCCUUUUUCUCUUGCGUCAUUCUCUUUGCAUACUUAGUCGUAGGACGCGAAGGUUCGGACUAGCAAUAAGGACGAAGGCUUGCCCAUCUUCGAGCAGGAAGGUGGGCGCCGCAUGGGCUUUGCGAACAGAAACGCUAAGGCCGUGACAUAGUGCUCAUUCAAUGGAGAAUAAAAUAAUAUACAUUAAUGUUUGCCUUUUUAGCAUAAGAUUAUACAAAAGAUAUUGAAUAUUUCCUAGCUAUGAUUUCUGAUGUAAUAGACAAGUAUCACUGUGCUCUACACCAUUAGAAACUGCCUUCACUAACCAGCACUAGAGAUUGUGUGUCAUUCAUGACCCAAACAUGACACAAAUCUAUGGUAUAUCAUAUGAAUAAGCAGAUUUUGAAUUUGUAGGAUGUUUCUAGAGAGGAUAUACGAGCCUCAUAGUUUUAAUCAAGACAGUGCUAUCUGUACACCCAAAAGGUGCAAAUCUUACAACCCUCCAUCCUAAGGUUUAGAAAAAAUUUUGGGUUCUCUCUAGGCGUCACAGACUAUGAUACGAGACACGGAACACAACAUGACUCGAACAUGGUGACUCGACAGUUUCAAAAAAAUUAGAACACAGAAACGGCAUAGACACUGCUAAUAAAACAUAAUAGUAUUAAUAUAGUAACAUAUAUUAUUAUAUAUUAGUAGUUAAUUUUACUAAAAUAUUAAUAUAUUUCGCACAAUAAAAUUCUCAUUAAUAAUUCAUAUGUUUUAAGAAUAAUUUAUUUAUAUUGUCCAACAAAAUUUGAAUGUAUUCAUCAAAAACCAAAAGAUUUAUUAUCUUACAUUAUAUAUUUAUAUAAGUAAAAUAAAAUUAGAUAUAUAUAUUUUUUAACGGGAUGCGGUAUGGACCUGCGCCGAACGCGUGUUCAUGGCAUGACCAUGUCGGACACGAUUCCGACACGGACACACGAAGCUUAUAGAAGUAUCCGUAAAACAUAGGGUUCUCUUCUUGUCAACUUAUUUUUAUUUUUAAUAUUAAAAAUCCAAAGGAUUUGUAAAACCUAGAAUGAAGAGGUGUAAGAUUUACACCCCUUUUUGGGGUGUACAGCAAGCAUUUUCCUUUAAUCAAAAUACUAAAUGCUAUACAGCAACAAACUGCAGCAAAGGUAGCCAAUUUCAAUUGCAAGAUGCCAAAUAAAAAAUGCUUAAAGAAAUUAUUUAUUAAGACAUGCUCCGCAGAUGCAGCAAAGAUAGCCAAUUUCAAUUGCAAGAUGCCAAAUCAAAAAUGCUUAAAGAAAUUAUUUUAUUAAGACGUGCUCCGCAGAGAUAGCCGAUUAUCAGCAAAAGCAUGAAAACUUUGGAAGAUGUACAUGCAAAACGGAGAGAUAAUACGUACAUUUGCAAGCUCUGUAUUCCCACUAAGUUCCCCAGCAAGAUCAUGGAAGCUGUUAUCUUCACCAUUCAGACGACCAGCACCUUCAAGCACAGCAUGAAAAAUAUCUGCAGGGGAAUCAUGCCGUGCAAUUCUUUCACAAGCUUGAUGGAGAUCAAUCUGAACACAAAAUAUCAAUAAAAAAAGGAACAAAAAAUCAGCUGGUGGAUGUUGUCAAGUUUGUCAGUCUCUUUUAAAAAUAAAAAAUGACCAGUCAUAUUAGGUAGACACUUAGACGAGGACCAUGUUUUAUCUCCUAAUUAAAUAUGUUGGACAUGAUUAGGUGGAUGGAGAAAUAUAUGAAAGAAAAGGCUUGGGUAAAAAACUAACAAAAGCAACAAGUAAAUGAAUUAUCACAUGCUUUUUGUAUACAAUUUCUAGAGAAGGCAAGUUCCUGUGCUCGACAUCCAGAAGCAACGCAAUGGAGCAUGUAAAAUGCAAAGCUUCCUAUCAAACACUCCCUCUUAUGAAAAGAAAAGGACGGUAAUUAAAGGAUAAAACGUAAGGACAAAGUAAAAGAUCAGAAGAAGACAGAAUUUCCUGAUCUGGAAGUUGGAAAACAUUGAUCUCCCAACAAAUUUCUGCAAUUUUCUCUCUUGUUCGUUUCAAUGAAUAACAGGUGCUGAACUCAAUUUCCGUUUCAGUUACUUGGCAGAAGAUCCAGCUAUUUACACUCCCUUUGGAUGGAGAGGCGAAAAAGGAAAAGAAAGUUAGGGGAGUCAUUUAUCUUGUUUGAAUUGAAACAUGAGGAACGAAAAGGAAAGAGGAAGAGAAAAUGACCUUCCAUGAUGGUUGAUCUUUUUUCCCUUUGAAAAGUGGAUAGAAAGGGAGUGUUAGUUUUCUCGUCUUCUUCCCUUCAUCCAUACAACAUGAGAGCAAAAUACUUUCUUUUCUCCUCCUCUCCUUCAUUUUUAUUUUCUUCUCUUCUAUUCUCUCCAUCCAAACAAAGGAUUAGAUUUGGUGUAUUACCUUCCUUAAGUGUGUCCUGUCCUUGGUAGGCCACCACCAUAAGUUAACUAAAAUAUAGAAGCCUCUUUUGACUUCAGAGAUUGUCUUGAAAAAUAGACAAAACACAGACUACCUAGUUUGGACAUCAUAGACACAUCAAAAAGCAACUAUAAUGUCAAAGUGACUGCAUGAGGGAAUCCCACGCAUCCAUCUUUUUGACUUUUGCCAAGUCAAUCAAAUGAAUGGCACUAAAUGCAGUGACUAUCAAAGAAGCACAGUAGCUCACUCCACCUUUCUAUUUGCAAUUUUGGUGCAUAACACAUAAAGGCAUUGUUCAAUGUCAAGAUUUCUUCAUUCAUUCUCCUCUUCCUUAAAGAAAGGAAAAAGAGGGAAACAAAUAAAGAACCAAAGAUAUGCUGAACUAUUUUUUGCUGACAUAGCAAUCUAUACCUAAAAAUACGGAAUUUAAGACCAAAAAGAAAAAAUUAAAAAAAAGUACGCCUAAAUGGGGUAUAAAUAUGUACCAAAGUAUCCCUGUUGUUUGACAUGUCAGAUUGACAAAUUCUACUAUCAUUCCUCAGGUGCCGAGGUUCAGAUUGCACACCAUUGACCGCUGUAGCCCAUGGAGAUCCUCCGCUUAGAGCUUGUGAGACAACAGGCAUCAUCUGCUGAAUCAUCCUUGAAAAACCAAGCCCACCCUGACCACCCAAACCGAGUAACAUGCUCCCAAGUUCUUGGCCGCCGCCACCUUGUCCUUCAGCCUGUUGAACCAUACCAUCCAGCGCACUCCUUAAUGCAGGGCUCCGCAUGCACUGUUCCAUCAUGCUCCUCAAAUCAGUGGGCGAGCUGACGCCAGUCUGCUCGGCUACAUUUGUCAAAAGAUUGUUGAAAACAGGGGUCUGGAGGACCCGCGAUAUCAUAUUGCUAACAUUGGCUUGUCCUACAGUAGAGGACGGUGUUGGAAUGGAGGAGCCUUGGUCAUUCAUUGGACUAUUUGAAUCGGAGCUUUGUGACACAAGAGAUCGCGGAAUCUGCUGGCCCCUAGUGAUUGAUUGCUGAUUUUGAUUUACCGAAGAGGUUUCACUCCCGCUAGGUUUUGCUGGUUUGCGUCUCUGAGGAAGACAAUAAAAGAGAAGUAUAUAAGAUAUCUAAUGCAAGCAUUGAAAACUAGAAAACAAGAAAUAAAAAUUUAACCAAAUUUGAAUAUCACUUUUCAACGUUUCAUAUAGCAAGCUGACAUUCUUUAUCACCUUAGGCUGCAAACUCCCAAAACCUAACCCCAAGGGAGCAGGCAUAUCACUUUCAGAGCUGGGUCGAGAAGCGCCCAUAUGUCCAUCUGGCUGGGAAUUUUUCUCCAUCGACUUAUCAGCUGAUGAACUGGAGGGAACAUCACUAUGUUCCCUAUUUGAUGAUCCAGCUGCAGAAUCACCGCGAUUAAUAUUAUCAAGCACAAUCGUGUUUGAUGAUGAAGAUGACAAGCUACUCCCUGCAGUAGCACUGGACAAUGCAUUAUCAUUCUGUGCACUUGUUGAAGCAGAAAGUGCAGACCCAGAACCUGCCUCUGAGAAAGUUGGAGGAAAUGGGUUAGAUGUAAUAGCAGGUUGUGCUCCAAUGUUCACAGUUGGAUGAGAUACUUGUGCUUCGUUUCUUAAAGUAAAAGAUGAUAAAUUCUGGCCUGGCACAUUCCCAGAUAAAGCACUAGUGGCGCGUGCAUUAAUCUGUGCAACUACCGCAGGGAUACCACCAGGCCCUGAGAAAGUUUGUGGGAUAACAACGGCCGCAUUGGGCUGAGGGGCCGGUUGGUUAGGGAGUGAUGGUGAUUGAGGCCUCACUUGAAUAGGGUAAAUAACACUUAGAACAUGAUUUCCACUCUCAGCAGGUGAGCGUGCCGGUAUAGCUGCAACCACUGUCCUUGCUGGCAUCCCUCGCACUGAAGAAGCUGAAUCACCUGAAAUAUUUCCACCUUGGGCAACUUGUUCCAUGUUAGGCUGUUCUCCAUGAGCAGCAUCACCUGAAGUUGUCCUUGUACCAGCAGUUGAACCACCACCAGUUGUUGAAGUACCUGUUGGUAAGGAAGAUUUUAGACCACCACCCUACUAGAAGAGAAAUUAAUCCCUGGAUCUGGUCCACCACUUCAGACACAAAGCAGCCCCAUAUAUUUUUAACCCUAGAGACCUUAGAAUCUAAAUGUAAACCAUGUCCAUUAAAUCUCUAAAUGUUCUAUUAUGAAAAAUAGGAAGUUCUGGGAAACUUAUUCCAAAAAGUCAAUGGCUAGCUAUUGUUUGUUACGUGAGAACUAGGCUUUUAAAAAGUAGGAUUUUUUUAACAUGGAGGCCCUUUAGGUGUUGGAGAUCAUGCCCAACAGCUUAAAACUCCACUUUAAAACAUCAAGGAUUGUAUUUUAGGGAUCAGCCCACAGUGCACCACAUCCAGACAACAAAUUCUCGCAGUAGAAAGGUUAGAGGGGUAUAACAUUUCAUCACCAGCAUGAAUAUGGAUGUUGAUGUUUCUCGAAGGAUCUCCACCAGCCAAUGGACCAGUAGCUCCAUUUACAAAAGGGGUAGGACUAACACCAAACAAGGAGCUAGUCUGAAGAGGAAAAGGCUGCAGUAGAAAGCAAUAUGUUGAUGCAAAAAUUGCUCAAUAAAAAAUUUCUAAUAUCAGGAAGUAGAGAAAAUAAACGGCAACCUGAACCAUAAUAGGAUUUGGACCUGUAGCAGAUAUAUAAACUGAGGGUCCAGAGUUUACAAAAGAUUCAGCCUGCACCAUUCAAAAAAGAAAUCAGCUAAUGGUUCAAGGAACUCAAACUAUAAACAAACAUAAAUAAUUAGCAUACAGGAGAUUGCCCCAUGCGAAGUGUCAUAGUUGUCCGACCAAGCUCCAAAAGCAUAGCACCUAAAUGCUGCAUAGCUAGUCCUGCAUGCAUCGCCUCAUUUUGAAUCCGAGUCCGCACAGCUGCAUCAAUUGAAGUGGCCUCUCCCUCCAGACGUUGUGCAAUAUGCUGAAAUAAUCAUUUAGAGAAUGGAAUAUUUCGUGCAUAUUUCAUGACGCCAAAUUAUCAUAGUUAAUAUUUACCGAACACUGAAUUUGGAGCUGCGAAUUAUUUGUAAAUCACAACAGGUCAAAGAAACAUUUGCACUUUGAGCACAGAUUCUGUGAAUUAUUACUAGCAUCUUUAAUAUCACUGAACUGGCCAAUAUGACUUGGUCAAGAUAUAAGGUAGAUUCAAAUCAAGGAGUUCAAUUCCACUUUAGAAUUUUAGCGAAAAUGACCAUAGAAAUUUUCUUUUCACUUGGCUAUUCAGUUUUCUUGUGCUUACAAAUAAAGUCGAAUCACUACAUUAGAAAAUUGGGUUAAUUACUACAUAUCCUGUAAACUUCUAAAAUUGCUUCCUGUUCCUAAAGGCCCUGUUUGGAUGUCAAAACAAGACAUCCAACAUACUCGGUAUGAAGAUUUUCUUGCCUAAAUAGAAGAUAGGAGUUUGGUUUUUACUCAUUGAAAGGCCUUCGCACCCAUGAUUUGAUAAGAUAGUAUAUUUGACCUACGAGGUAAUUUAUCUUACUUGGAAAAAACAACUCAAAAGGCUAAAUAUGAUAUCCAUUUUGGACAAUUUUGAUCACACUCCUCAUCUACCAAAUACUACAUGCUUCUUGAGUAAAUCAAUGGGAUAUACCAAAGAAGGUGUUCAUGCAUCCAAACAGGCAGCAAACUUUGAAGUAACUCCAACAUAUCCAUCUAAAUCUCUGAAAUAUUGGCCCUUGCACCACACUCUCAACUGCCCAGCACUCACUAUUGGAAAGUUAUCAAGGUCGAUUUAAAUGACAACAUUACGCCCAUAAAUAUUUCCCUGAAAACUUCUAAUAAUGAUCAUCUUCUUUUCCAUGGCUCUUCUUCCCUCAGUUCUCCAGCCUAAUCUACAGCCCCACCUCUGGCCAAAUUCUAUAGUCAAUUCCCAAGCCCACCCAAGCCCACCUACGGCCUAACUCUCCAGCCAUUUACCAAGUCCCACUCCACCCUUAACUCCCCAAUCCCCCACAUUGUCCCCAACCAUCAAAGCAAUCUCCUCAGUUAAAUUCUAAAUUGAACCUACGGAAUUUGAUAGAUGAAGCAUGACCUAAGUACUCAUCCAUUUAUGUGGAAGAAAUAAAGUGUUGAAGCUAAAUUAUGUUGCUAGCCUGAAGAGGAGUACAUGAAUAACUAAUCCACCAAAAAGCUUCGUUGUAUUUAUGGAUCGUUCUCUUAGAGCAUCUCUAGUCUAACAUGUCUUAGCAGUUCCCACCACCUUCAUGUCGAAUUACUUGGUAACUUCGUUAUAAUGAGUUCCCAACCAAGACUUAUGACAUGGAAUUCGUUCACAUAGGGAAGAAAAACCAUUGCAGCAUCAGAGAGCAUGGAAAUACAGAGAUGAAUGAGGGAAAAGGUAAAUGAUUUGCAAAAGAAAUUGUAGGGACAGUUCACAGAAAAAAUGCAGCCUAAUUGUGGGACAGUUAUCAUGUAAACACCUAAACAGAAGCCUAAUAAAAAGCAGCAUUACGUGCAGCCCCUAUAAUCACAGGGUUUCAUAAUAUAUGGUUGUCGUUUUAUUUUUUUGGUGGAAGACUAGCCAUUUGGAAAUUUUUUGGCUGCUAAAUGGCAGUAGAUGUCAAAUACAGCCCAUUACCUUUUGAUAAAUAAAUCCACAUUAAAGAACUUCACAAAAACCAAGAUUAGAGCAUACAGAAAGUGCAGAUGCAGCACUGCCAGUAAGAAGUUGCCGUGCUCGCUCAAUAACUGAACCCAAGACCUCUGGAGUUGGUAGAUCUCUUGACCUAGAAGGAGCGGCAUCAGACCUCUGUGGAUGCUGAACAUUGGUAGCAGCAGAAGAGUGAUAACCUUCAAACACAAAAAUACAUUUAAACAUGGUUAAAAGAAUAUGAAAAAUACCUUUUAACACUAAAUACAUAAAAGUGUGACAUUACCAUAGUUCUGCAAUGCUAGGUCCAUGCGAUUGAUGAACUCCAAAAGGGUAGCCAAGGAAUCAGGAAUAACCUGAACAAAGAACAUAUAAAUCAAAUGCCCAAAAAAAUUAACAAAAAGAUAAGAAGAAACAGUCUACCGUAUGACGAGAUAAUGCUGCCGGGAGAAGAGGUGAUAUUUGAAGUUGGUGAUUGAGAAUUGCAAAUCCUGGCUGCACAGGAUUUCCAGGUUGAGUUCUACUACCAGCAUUCUGUGGCCCUUCGGUUUCACCAUUUGGUGGGACCUACAUGAAAGCAAGGAUCAAAUAUCGUUAAAGCUACGUGAAAACUAGUUUGGGACGACUAUAGCUUCUGGAUAAUUGCCAUUUUAGUAAUGUUGUUCAUAGAAAGCAAAACAUUUAGUAAUACGAUCCAAUUCCAUACCUAGGGAUGUCAAUAGGUAUGGAUACCCAAAAUUUUAUCCGAAUCCGAGCCCGAACCCGAACGGAGCGAAUUUAUCUGAUGCUAAAUGGAUAUGGCUUUAGAUAUGGAUAUCAAAAACAAAAACCCGACGAAUAUGAAUACAGAUAUGGAUUUUGACUUUACCCAACCCGAACCCAGACUCGACCCAAACCCAACACGAACCCAAAUUUAUUUUACAUUAUAUAUAAUAUGUAUAUAAAAAUUUGAUAUUAUAUUGAAUUUGUGUUUUAAAAAUUUAGAUUUAAUGUAAUAUAUUUUGAAAUAUUGAAAAGAGAAAUAAUUGUUUCAGGUUCAGAUUUUUGGGUUCGGGUUUCAGAUUUUUGGUCGGGUUCGGAUUUAGAUAUGGAUCUUUAAAAUCCGUCGGGUCGGGUUCGGGUUCGGGUUCGGGUUUCGGGUUUGGAGUCAGGUUUGGAUUCGGGUUUUUGAAAAUCCGCCCCGAAUCCGACCUAUUGACAUCCCUAUCCAUACCGACAAACUAAGAAAAAUAAAAAAAGCAAAGAAAAACCAGCUUCCUGCCAUAGCAGGAGUAAAGAAUAAGGUUCAAAAUGCUUCCAAUGGGACAGUAAAAUUAGGGCUUGAAAUACCAUUUCAGCGUUCUGCCAUAGCAAAUAGCUCUAUACAUUUUAUUGGCCAAAUGCAUGGUAGCUGCUUUCUGGAGUAGACAAAGUACUCUAGAAACUAGGCCAAAGAGGGACAAAGUCUCCAAUAAUAAGUUGCAGCUAAAGAAAAUGGUAUUUACCGAAGUAGAUGAAGUGCUGCUAACUCCUCCAGCAGGAGCAAGAAUCCCAAGCCCCAAAGAACGCAGAAGUUCCCCAAUACCCUGAAACAAAAGUGUAAAUUUUUUAAACCCCCCAAAGAGAAAAAGAUAUAACUCAUAGGCCAAGUAAAAUAGAAUACUGCAGUCUGACAAAUUUCCACCAACUAAGAUUUAAUUAUAGAAAGCGCACCCUAGCAAUAUCAGCUCCCAUCCCUUCGCCCUGGUCAGCAAUAUUUACAGUCCCAACAACGACACUAUGCGAAACUUGUCCCGUCCUGUUCUGCUGUGCAUUUCCAAUCGUUUCAUUUCCUACAAAUAGAUGCACAAAAUGCAAGAUAGUCCUGCUGAAAUACACACUUGUAUAGAUAUGUUACACACGUACACACACAUAUACAUACACACGUGCUUUAUAUAUAUUAUGCUUUUAUUGCUCAAUUUCAUGCAAUGAUGACUUUUCAAUACUGAUUACAAGGUUUUGAUCUUUUUAUGCACAAGACCGGACAAAUCAAAUUAUCAGAAAAGUUUGAUUAGUCACGAUCAGUCCCAGAAAUACAACAAAGGGUAAAGGGACUUAAAACAAUAAAUUCAACAAACUAAGAUCCAGUUCAUCAAACCCACAUAUUCAACUAAAGAAAAGGUGUCAGCACGAUGCCAAGCAUCAUUGCAUUUGUCACUGAAGAAGCUCGACAACAUCAAGGCUUUAAGAUAACAUAGGGCACCAAUAAAUACCACCUAGCAAGGGAUUACACAUCAUGCAUAAUCAUCCUUAAAUCAACCAUGUGUUGCAUGAACCACCAAGCUAGUAGCAUUCACACAUGUAGUGUUGAAAUAGCUUAGUGGCAAGAAAUGUUGUUAAUGACCAAAAUAUUUGCUGCAGAAAGAAGGAUGUGAUAGAAAAAAGAAAAAAACAUUGAUUCAAAAAUCUUACAAAGAAAAUGUUAGAAGAACAAAAUGGAAAUGACUGGUAGAAAGUACCAAUCACACAAGCAUCUCAUGCUUCUGUUUUCUCAGUAUUCACUACCGGCAUUGUCACUCACUCAAAACCUUAAUACACAAAAGAUUUAAGUUAAAAACUAUAUCAUUAACGAAAGAAACGAAUAGAUACAUUUAUAUCAAUCAAUAAUUGUAGAGACUUUUGUAAAACUGUCCAAAAAUACCCGAUAUCCCAUACCCGACGACAAGCCUACCUGGACCCAAACCAGACCCGAUAAAAAAUGGAUAGUAUGCCAGUAAAAAAAAUUACCUAUUAAAGUUUUGGGCAUGGGUCCGGAUACUUUAUACCCAUAACCAACUUGGACCCGACCCAAAACCAACCUUUUAAUGGGUAGGGUCCGGAAGAGUUUUCAAAUCCGGACCUGUACCCAGACCUCGACCGGGACCAGGACCCGGACCCGGUGAAAUGCCCAAUAGUAAAUAAAAAAGAUUUGAAGUUGAGGGAUCAACUUCAAUACGACUUACAUAUGAAGGGUCUUUGUGUAUUUGCAUCCUAGUGAAACCCCAGUUGCUCUGUUUACUCCUUUUUUAUUUUUUUAUUUUAAUCAUUUUUUAAACCCUAGCUGCUCUGUUUACAGCUAGAAUCUUUCUUUUGAACGAAUUUUACUGGACCGGGUGCAACUCAUUAGAACGCAAGUUUUCUAUAGUGAGAAGUUUAUAGUUUGCCCAUAGGGUUAGGGCUACUAUAUUUUUAUGAGUAUAGACCUCUUUGUACUUAAGUUUUCAGCCGUUGGAUGAAAAGAUGUGCAGUUAGGAUAAUAGUGAUCCCCGGUUAGGGUGAUAGUGAUCCCCUAGGGUUGAGUGGGUGGUUGGUUGAAUAGUAUAAUCUAACGGGUGGAAAUAAUCAAAGGGUAGAUCUAAUGGCCGAAAACUUGAGUACAAAGGACUCUAUACUUAUAAGAAUAUAGUAGCCGGACUUUUGUCCAUAGAUUGUUUAAUAAAGUCUAUAAAUAUAUAUGCAUACGGGUACCUAUACCCGAUCUAGACCCGACCCAUACCGAACUUAAGCAGUUAGUAUAGAGUCACUACCCAGACCCGCUCAAAUAGACCCGGUGGGUAUAUUAUUAACUAAAGUACUCAGACCGAUCUGACCCAAAGUUAAAUAGGUAGGGUAUAUAUAUUUUUCUACCUUUCUUUUUAGGAUAGGGGUACAGUAUAUCAACUACCUAGACCCAACACGGUCCAUGGACAUUUUUAGUCUUUUGCAUUGAUGAAUGAAACAAUUAAGAAGAUAUAGCACUUUAACAAGUCAAAAUGUAGUUUGUUAAAGAUGUGUGUCCUCCUGUAUGAUAUUGCCCUCUGACCGCAAGCACUAGCAUAUCAAGAAAAAAGGUAGCUCUGUGAACUGUGAACAUGCUAUCUGACAUAGGUCAGCAAGCAUUUACACUAACAGCACAUAAUUUGAAUUUCUCUCCUACUGGCAAAGAGAGAAAUGAAAAACAUUGGCCAACCUAAAUAACAUGACCAAAUCAAAUUAAAUCAAAAUACUUAUCAGGAAAGUGCUAAUGAAAGCUCUGCAAUUUAAUGCCCAAAUUGCUAGUGAUCCUGGCAAUAAUGACAAGGCACAACAACUAGCCAACGACCAAUCAUGAAGAGUUAUUAAACUUCACUUGAGUCAAAAAACCGAAUAAAAAAAAAAUUUACCAUUAUUACGACUGCUAUCUUCUGAAGCUGCCCCUGGUUCAGUAGGACGUUGUGGUUGAGCUGGUUGUCUAGCAACCAAAUGCAGUGUAUGCCCAUCUUCCACAUCUAUACUUUGUCAAGGUUACCAAAUAUACAAGCUUAACAAAAGAAAAAAUUGUAUCUCCUCACAUUAUAAGAUCCAGAAUAAACGACAUGUAUGAGAAGAACAGGUAAUAUUAUCCUGUGCCAAGAAAUAGUAAUUUUGUUAAAUACACCCAGCAACAUCAAGAUAUCCAAAAAAAACAGUAACGAAAAAAUAGCACUGUCAAAACUAAUAUCUUAAGUAUUACAAAAAAAAGCAGAAGGAUAGCACCCAGCUGUUUUUAUGGAUAUGAUCAAACAAAAGAGAGAACACAAUCUAAGGAAUAGUAUGCAGCUGUUGACAAUGGAAACUGUUUUCACCAAGAGCAUAAUGAAGUGGAAGUGGUGAUACAAAAUAAAGGUUAUUAGAGAAGAUAUAUGCACAACAAGAACAUUUCAGCUAGAAACAUCAACCUGUAUAUUUUGUUCUACUGACGCUCGGAAUUUUUGAGUUUUACUUUUAACUGAAAUUCUAUGAGGUUAAAUGUGUCAACAGAUGGAUGAAUGCCUAAUUGUUUGAAAUCUGUAUGAUAAUACAGUUUGUUCGGCAACCAAAACCAGUGUUUUAAAUAGCGGCCACUAUGCCUGCCAUAGCGGCCGCUAUAGCGGAUUUUAUGUGCUACCACUACACCAUAAUCUCUAAAGCGAAAUUGAGCGGAUCGGGUUCAUAGCAGCCGCUUUAGUGGCAUAGGGCUUGCUAAAGCGGUCGCUAUAAAGCAGUCGGAAAGCGGGCACUAUGAGCCCAAAACUUAAAAGUGCAAACGGGUUAAAACAUCCAACCGGGGCAGGUUCUCAAGUAAAAUAAAAGCUCAAAUCCUGUUUCUAAGGGUUUGAAAGUUAAAGAGGCAAUCCAUUUUUUAAUAGAGAAUAAGAUUUUAAUCAUCUACCUAAGAUAUCCUUUUUGACAUCCAUUUACAAAUUGUUUAGAUUGUUAACGGAUCAUAGAUAUCCUUUUUGAGUUUAUGUCUUUUUGGUUUGCUAAAUCGUAAUAUUUUAAAGUUAAUCAUAAGAGAUAAUGACAUUAAAUAUGUAUAAUCUUGCAAUACUAAAAAAAAUGAAAUGAUUAAUUGUCUUUUCUUCAAAAUUAUAUGUAUUUUUAUAAGGAACAUAAACAUAUUAAGUUUGUUUUCAUGAAACCCGCUAUGGGUUCAUAGCGCCCGCUAUGGUGCUUACUAUCCGCUUUUCGCGCUGAGACCCUCCAAACGCUAUGUGCCCGCUAUCCACUAUUUACAACCUUGACCAAAACAGAUAAACAUAGUAGAAACUAAUUUUCACUUCUUUUAAAAAAGUGAUUAGUUUGCAAACUAACUAUCAAAGAAGUUUAUCAGCCAAAACAUUCAAUUACAUAAGAGUUUUGGGUUUUUUAAAAACAAAAAAUUGGAUAAGUUUAGCCAAAUGAAGCCUGAAAUUGGAAUAUUGGAUUAAUUUGGCCCUAUUUUAACUUCAUCCUCAUUUUGACCUGGAUUUUAAUUUCACCUGGGUUAGUUUGAACUGAAUUUUAAUUUCAUCCUCAUUUUUCAAUUGCAACACUUUAGUCCUAGUAGUUUGUUCAGCAUAAUAAUUAAGCCCUUCUUUUCAAUCAACCAUCCAACACUACCAUUAUUAGACUUUUCUUUGUUAAAACAUAUGGACGAAAUUGACAUGGUUAAAAUGUAGGGACCAAUAAAAGUUGACGUCAAACUUGAAGGUUAAAUAUGAAACUUUGAUAAUGAUGUAGAAAUUAGGCUCAAAUUUCCGAUAAUAAAUUGUUAUAAUUGAAACUCUAAAGACAAAUUAAACCCAGCUCAACUUUAGGUUCAAAUUUAUAAUUAGAACUUAAAUCUUAUAAAAUAAGAAAAAAUAAAUACUAAACUAAAAUGAAGAGUACAAGUCAAUUUUCUAACAUAAGAAACAAACUGAGUAAAAUGAGGACUAAUGAGUACAAGAACUAAAUAGAUGUAAAUAUCUAAAAAGGCUAAUUAAAAAUAUAUAUGAUAUGUAUCUCAAAAGUUAGACAUGAAAAAGAAGUACAUAAAGAAAAUGGAUACGAUAUUCCGAUAAGAGGUGAUCAUCCUUCAGAACUUUUCCUCUAAAUAUCAGCCGCUGCUGGUCCAUUGGAACACCAGUCACACCUACAAUCUUCUCCUUCAAAGCAGGUAUCGGCAACUACAAUAGAUGUACAAUCAGGUGAAUUAGCAUGAAUGAGCCAAAUCUACAAACAAGCAGUGUUGCAAAGAAAAGAUGUGAAAGAUAAAGACAUUUCAGGAAUGCAGAGAUUCUAGGAUUCAGCGAAAAAGGUGUUCUGUAUUCAUCAGAAAAGCUACUUCGGUUUCGUUUCUAAACGUUAUAGAAACAAGGCAAUAUGAACAUGCUCUCAAGUUGUUAAUGAUCCCUAGGUUGCAUCAAGCUCAAGACAACCCUAACGACAAACACUCAGGGAAUGCAAUCAGCAUCUGGAACAGAGCCCAGUUGGACCUAUAGGAAAUUUCUCUCAUUCCCAUGUUCUCCGCUUAGGACAUUUGUGACUAGAGCCUCCAGCCUGAUUAGCAAGCAUAACCAAGCUAUUAAUCUACAGAUUGUUUGAUCUACAACCCCAAUGAGCCACAAAAAUGAAUGAUCUGUAACAGUGUAGAAGUUCGAAACAAAGGUGUUGAAUUAAAAAUAUCUCAUUAAAUUACAUAAUGUUAUCCCCAAUGCAAAGAGCAAAUUACUAUAUGCUACCGCUUACAGUAAGAAAAAUGCGAUCAAUUUAGAAAAGAAUAGCUAAAGAAUAGCUAAAGAAUAACCAAAAUAGAAAGCUAUGGAUACAGAAACAACGUCAAAGCUGUUAAUGUUCUGGUUCUACCUUGGAAUGUUUUCUAUCAUGCCAAUAUGUCAUGUUGGUAUCACAAAGAGAACAUUAUACUUGAGCAUACUAUCAAGCCGUUGCAUCCCAUAUUCGUAUGUCACAGAGUUUUUGCAUUAUGGCAUAGGCAGUGACAUGGCCUAAAAUUUACCACAAAGUCAUAUGCUGUUCAUUCUGAAGGUGAGCUGCAUAUGGACCAUAUAAUGAUAGUAAAUGUGGCAACAGUAUCAGGUUUUAUUUUCAAAUGUUGACUGAAACCUCUUAAAAUUAAGUAGUUUCAAUCUGACAAAGUAAACCUGAAUUUCCAAUAUAUUGAUGUAUUAGAAUUAUACUUUAUGCCACUUAUAUAUGAAAUAUUGUUAAGGUUCGUAUUAGUAUCCCCAAAACAGCCAAAAGAGAUCAAAAUAUGAUAGAAGGAACAAAAAUAACCAAUUAAUAUAUUGGAUUUGGUUCUAAAAGCUAGGAGGCCAAAGUAUUAUGUUGUUGGAUUAGUUUCAGGGGCUUGUUCUAGAUCAUAACCAACGAAAGCUGAAGUUUCAACUAACUAUUAUGUUGUUAGAUUAGUUUCAGGUCCUCGCUCAAGAUCCACGAAUGAAGAUAGAGUGAUUGGAUACUAGUUGGAGUUUCAGUCAAAACCAUAAUUAUUGGACCAGGCCUAGACAUUGACACAACUAGGCACCAGGUCACUAGGUCAUCGAUCCGAAUGGUGAGCAACUGUCCAGACCACAGGCUCGAAAAGCAAUAAAUAAAAUAUAUAAAAUGUGCUCAAAGUUACUCCAUGGAUGGAAAACUGCAUUAAAUUAAGUCUAAUCUACAUAUAUUAAAAGUAUUAUAGGGAUACUUCAUAGUCUUAAUUUAACAAAAACAAAUAAAGCUAAAAUAGUUCUUUGAAACUAAAAGAAACUCAUAACUUGUCAAAACUAUACGCACAUCAGUAACAUCUUCAACAUGAAAUGCUUAGCACUGUCAUUACUGUAUUCAACACAUUCUCAACUUUGUUAUAGGUUAAAAAACAAGAUAGCAUGUUUACAGCCUUAAAUUUCCAAAGUACAUGUAAGAAUAGAUCAGUUCCCUCUACUGAAGCAAUGGAAUCCAAAUGGCACAACAACCACAUCAUAAGUUUAAGCAAUAGGCAAAAAGGCAUAAUCAGGUGAAAUCAAUGUCAUUAUCCUUACUUGUCAUGUUUCGUAGCUAUUGCAUUCCAAAUGAAAAACCAAAGCUAAACCAAUAAGUUAGAUUGCCAGAACUUGUUAUGGCAUCAUCAGCAUAUUACAUAUAGCCUUUCUGCUUAUGCCUUCAAUGCUAAAAAACGCUAACAAUUAAUUUUUGUGACGCACAUCGCAAGCGAAAAGUAGAAAAAGGGAAAAAGAAGACAGCAUAGAUCUAAAUUUAUCAGAGUGCACUUUACAGCUAGAAAAGGAACAUUACAUCUUUGCGAACACGAAAUUUAUAAAUCUGAGAAUCAAGAGUUUUGACAUUGAUUUCGAUAGUUGAGUCUGAUCCAUCACCGACUUCUUGCAUUGAACUGCUACCGUCUUUGAAAGCUUCAUCAGCCAUCCUCUAGAGAAAUAAAGAAGGAUAAAUGAAAUAGGAAGAUGUCAAGACUUGCACUAAAUGACUCUGGAAUGUACAUGACGCUCUGCGUAGAAAUUAAAUCCCACCGGUGUUUGAAAAAGCCCAAAGCGCACCAAGGCACAAAGGGCUAUCGGAGCCCAGGUGCAAGGCCCAAGGUGCAUACGCACGCCUGAGCGAGCGAGGCACACAUGUCUCGAAAUAAACAAGAAAGUCUUUAAUAUAAUACACCCUCCAACAAUUGUUAAAUGGCACUAAAAACUCUUUAAGAUCAUAUUAUCAUAAUAAACAUUUCAUAAGCACUAAAAACUCUUUAAGGGCUCUUUUCAAAUUCAAAAAGGCUCUGUUUUAUGCAGACAGAAAUUGCUUUUAUCAGAGUAAAGCAUUGUAAAAGAAAACAAAAAAAACAAAAUUUACUUCAUCCUAUGCACAGUUGCACACAUAAUGUGUGUUGUGUGUGUGUGUGUGUGUGUGUGUGUGUGUGUGUGAGAGAGAGAGAGAGAGAGAGAGUUAAAAUAGUAACCUGUUUUACAUCUUCACUUUGGAAAAAAAGGAAAAACACACUUUUAAGAAAAAUAAUAAUAAUUACUCCAUCCUAUUCUCAGAUAACAUGCAAGAGAGGCUAAUCAGGUAAAAUAGGAUAUUGUUAUAUUAAAAAAUACAGAGAGAGUUUAAAUAUGAUAUAAUCCUAUUUUAUUUAAAAAAAAAAAAAAAAAAAAAAAAAAAAAGUGGAUAAGUGUUUUAUACACAAAUAAAUUAAAAUGUUGUUGAUUUUCUCCCAUUCUGUUCCACAUAAUAUGCAGGUAAACAGAUUCGUAGCUGUUAGAUCUUAAACGAAGGGGCAUAAGAAUACUCAAAAGUAUGCCUUUCUCAUUUUCUUCUUCAUUGCGCUUCGUUGCUACUGUGAAGAAGAUAAGGAGGGAAGGGGGAAGAGAGAGAUGAACACCUCUGAGGCCAAUCCGCAGGGAGUAAGCGGCUGUGGAGCGGAUCUAUUUAGGCAAGCGAGAGGUAGAAGCCCGCCAGCGGGAGUAGCGGAGCUGCAGAGGUGACGGGGCAGGGAAGGAGCGGAGGCGAACGAGAAAGAGAGAGAGAGAGAGAGAGAGAGAAAGGGCGAAAGAGGACGAGAGAAAGGGCGACGAAGGUUUUUUUCUUUUUUUUUUUGUGUUAAUUAGGGUUUGUUUUUUAAUAUUUAUAUUAAAUACGUUGGACCCAAAAACUGCGUUGGGUUUGGUUUGCUUUGGUUUGGUUCAGAUAUAAAUAAAAAUUAUUUAUUAUAAAAAUAAAUAAAUAUUUAUAUAUAAAUAGAAAUUAGACUAAUUUUAUAUUUAAAUAAAAAUUAGAUUGUUUUUAAAAAUAAGGUAAUAGUGUUUGGAUAGUUAGAUUGGAAUAAGGGGUAUAAGAGUUAUAAUUUUAAAUUAAAAAUAUUUUAUCUAAUUAAUUAAUAUCUAAAUAUUAAUUAAAAAUAAUUUAAUACAUUAAUAAAUUAUGCAUAAAUAUGUUAAAUUAUUAAUUUUUUAAUUAUCUAAUUAAUUCUAAAAUAAAUAAUUGAUUAAUUACUUUAUUAUUUAAACAAUAGAUAAUAAUUUAAAUAUAUUAAGUAAAUUAAUUAAUAAUUUAAUAUAAUAAUUAAAAUUAAAUUUAGACUUUAAUUAAACUUGCUCCUGCUUGCGAACAAGCUUGUUCCACGAAAAGGGUGGAACAAUAGUUCUAGCCUUAUACCGGCUUGUUCUAGAAAAAGGAGAACAACUAUUCCAAUCCCUAAUUUCAUGUUUGGGAAACAAGGGAAGAUAAUCCCUUAUUCCACCUCUUGUUCUCCAACCAAACGAGGCCAAAAAGUAUUCAUACCUACUGUUCAUUUUAUGAGAAGCUUCCAACACAAAAAAAAGAUUAUAAUAAACUGUAAUGUGCGCGAUAAAAUCAAUGCAUGGAUGGCGAAAAGAUGAUACAUGAAAUUGAGAAAAAAAAAUAUGGAAAACGAUAAUCUGGCAAGUCGUAUAGUCAACUUGUAAAAAGAAUUUGGUGGUACAGGGGUAUUACUUCUUGGACGGUUUCUGUCACGCCCUGGAUUUCAGCGGAAGCUUACAAGUCGCGUGCACAGACCCGCCGUGUACACCACAACUCAAGUAUACACCAGGCGUCUACAAAUAGUAUAGUAAAAGAAUUCGAUUCUAAUCAGGUAAUCAAAGCAAAACUUAAAAGUUUAAACUUAUACCAUCCAAGACCUUAUUACAGUAAAUAAGAACAAAAUCCAAUUUACAUGAUCUUAAUAUACAUCACUGAACUAAUCUACAUAAACGGGUAAAGAUCGUCUAUUUAACGUCAAGAAGGCUCUAGCUAGCCGCUGAUCCCUCGCCAGGAACCCUAGCAUUUCCCGCUGUGGGAGGCUCUAUAAAAACAACAACAAAGAGGAUAUGAGAACUAUUAAACAAUAGUUUCCAGUGGGUAAGCCACCGAGAGUGGCGAAGUACACCACUAGGUCAACUGUGGCAUGAGUAAAUAGCAAUAAAGAAGCAACUAAAUGCAACAGGUAUGAAAGUAAACUACUCAUGCUAUUUGCUCAACAAUAAAUAAAUAUCAACAAGCUGCAGGUAUUAGUUAUCAUGAUAGAUUCUAUCAUUCAUAUUAAUUGACAAUUAACUAGGCAUAUACCAGAUUGUAUGCAUGAUAAUUCGUCUUACUGAAAUCACUGAUAAUAUCAUGUAAUUACCUUCGAUAUUAGCAAAAAUGAAACAUAUUGUCAUUUUGUUACUAACCAAUCACGAUGUCAACUUUAAAUGUCAACUUACUUUAAAUGCAGGUAUUGUCAUUACCAAGCUUACUUUAAAUGUCAACUUCCUAGCUUGUUCAUCAAUAAGUUAACUUGACCAAAGACAUAAAGUAACUUUACUACUAUGUCUAACUAAGGUUAAAGUACUUAUCAUAAUUCAAUUUCCAACAGACUUACACAAGGUAAUUUCAAAGCCGCGCCGUGCCUAAUGGCCCCGUGGUAGUAUACACUCUCCACGGCAUUCCACUUCGGCGCUCACUUCGUACAUAAGCGAGCAUCUGUCGCUAAGCUACUACGGAGUGCUGGCUUGGGGGGGGCGACCCCCGCAAGCGUGUGCGAAAGAGCGUAAUGGCAUGCAAGCUGUAAUCCAUGGCACAAAUAUCUCAACAGCAUCAUGUCUUUGACAUGGAAUCUCAACUCGACCCAAGGUCGACACUGUAGUGCCCAAUCAUAAGUCACUAUCAACACUUGUUGACAUGAUUCUACCAAUGGCGAGUAUAACUUGACAAGUCUAAGCUUUACAUCAUACUAGUGAUUCUAUCAAGCUAUACCUGGUCAGUCACUCAAAAUCUCUCACUACUCCUUACACAUAAGGAAAGUGGUUUACUAAUGUCCUAUUCAAGGACUCAUGGCAUAUAUCCUGUAGUCCAAUGUAAACCUCCACUACUUGGGGUAAUUACAUACUAUGCAAUUACUAGUUAUUUACUAGAUUAUAUUCAGUUGUAUAUCAUUCAAAAUAUACCAUCAUACUAAAUUCUAGUUACUUACUAGAACAUAUACCAUAAUCUGAAUUUAUCAUGUGAAAGUAGAAACUAACUGGGUAAAGUAAGCAGAUAAUAGAAGCGAUAGAAUAUUCUUCACAUGAUCUUUAUACCAUUCAUUCUAUAGUUAUGAAUGUAUACUCAAGCAAAUGCGUCUACAUGAUAUAUUCAAAGUUUAGCCAAUAUACUUGCCACAUAAAAAUUGCAUAGUUGAUUUUAAGUACAUCAUUCCCUUUGCUGUUCAACUGAACUAAGUGGUACAUUCACGAAUCUACCAUUAUAUCCUCUUGGAUAACAUCAAGUUAAAUUGUAUAUGCAAGCUACUAGGAUCAUGAAUACAUAGUACUUUAACAUGUGACCAUGUAGAGUGGACAAGUCAUGAAUCUUCCGUUACUGUUUAAAGAUGCUAUCAUAUCCAAUCUGAUCUACACAUUAAUGCAUGUCUCAAUGCCUUGAACUAUACAUAUAUUCACAUGAAUAUGUAGUAACUUCGACUCAGAUGUCAAAGAAGACAUAGAGGGAAAUUCACCCAUUUCGGGAAGGUCCGACCCACCGAUAAACGACGCCUUUGUCGAGUUCACGUUGAUAAGCGAUCCGGUUAUUCAAGCUUCUUAGGUUUAUACUUCUCUUCAGGUAAAGACUCCCAACGCUCAGCUUUAACCAGCUCAAAUGCGUCCAGGAAUUCAGCCCAACGACAUUUCAAUCCUGCUGAAAAUUAAGUCUCAAAACCGCAUUGAAACUAUGGCUAAAAGUCUAAUUUCGACAAAAUUCUCAAUUGUACUAAGUUGUAGCUUAAUUCCCUGCUUUGAUUCAGUUUAAUACCUCAAGUUUAGCUUCCAAAAGCUCUCACAUAUCAGCCGGAGAUAAUUUGAAAGUCAAUCGCAACCUUGCUGCGAACAAUCACCAAAACGACGUCAAAACACUUAUAUCCUUAAAUAGUAUCGUCGGAAUCUCACUUAAUCUGAUUUCUAACUGAAAUUUCUGCUUACCGUUAGUUGAAACGCCUUCCAAACCAGUCCCGAAGGUCACAAACUCAGCUUAAUUUAAUUUGGAAACCUGCUGUGAACAAACUUCCCAAACUGUAUUAAGUUACACGAUUAAACAUCGUAUAGGUCCGAAAUCGAGUCAAUAGUUAACUAGUUACCUUGGCUAAGCCUCAAGCCAGCUUUUCCCUGGUUUAAACAGAGGAAUAACAACCACAUAACUCCUCUUUAGCUGCUGGAAUUCCCCUCCAACCCACUUGGGAGCAACAAAACCAAAACUACUCAAAAUCCAAUACUAAAAUUUGAAUUAAAGAAAUCUUAAAUAAUAUACCUAUCAAAAGCUGCAACUCAGCUCCCUCUGGUGAUAGGACCACAGAAAAUCCAUAAAAAUCCUUCCCCCCACGUUCCAAGGACUUCCUUGAGUCUCCGAACCAGCGAGCAACGAACGCGGCGCAAAAUCGGUGCAAAACGAUAACUUCUAUGUAGAGGGAGAAAAAUCUAGAGAGAAAAAGGAGAGAAGAGCUUCAACCCUGCUUUGCUGAACUCAAACAAGCUUAUCCAAGUUAUAGGGGUCGAGCUGGGCGCAAGGGAUAAGAACAGAAAGCAAAAAGACCAAAAAAACCCUGCUGCCACGCACCUGCUGCUGCUGCUGCUUGCUGUACCGGUACAGCAUAAUGCCUGUACCGGUACACAAUGCAAAAAUCGCCCAAUUCGCAGGAGUAAUGCACUUUCUUGUCUCCGACAAUCCGAUCACUCUCAAACUUGGCCAAAAACUUGUCCAAGCCUUUUAGAAGAUGUAGGGUAGUUCUACUUAUCAUUCCCCACAUUCGAGCUUCGCAAUAGAUCAAAUUCAGAGCAUUGCAAUUGAUAAUGCAUUUGCAAUGCACUUUUCCAAUUCCAGUUACUAUCUUACUUCAGUAACUUGCCAAAACCUUUCAACAGUCUUUCAAGAAUCGUAGACUAGUCCCAAAAGCCAAUCCAACCCUCGAACUUGCCAAUAGGCCCAAGAUUCAGUAUAUUACAGUUUCAGGAAGUAAAAGCUAACAAUUUUCGUACUAGGUGUUGCACGAAGCCACUAAAUUUAGUUUUGAUUUAAAAAGAGAAAUGGAUCUUACUUUGGCAUGUCUUGUAUGAGAGUUGCUACAUUUUGGUUGGAGAUUUUGGCCAGGAAGUCUUAUCUAAAAAUUUAAUUCUAAAAUUAGACUUCUUAAACUUUAACGCUUGCAUGAGCCAUGUGGGUGUCACGGUGGAGUGGGUAGAAAGAAAAGUGGUGAACUAUUCACUGCUUACUUAAAGUGGGGAAUCAUUCACCAAUUUUAAGAGAGCCUCGCAGCUCUCUUCAAAGCAGCAAAUGGUUCACUUCUUUUAGAAGCGGCAACCUAUUAACCGCUUUACUUUUAACCAACUUCAGUACAAAUACAAGUAAAUGCAAGUAGGAAAACGGUAAAUGAUCACUGCAUUUAUAUGUGGUUAAUCCGUCGAAGGAGAAAAUAAUAUUGUAGCGUCUUUCCAAUGGUACCUAAAACCAUAUUAAAAAGAAACACACAAGGAAUACUACGUUUUAGGUGAAAAAAUUUGCUCUCUAAUUUGUAAUAUACCGAAAAUUCGGAAAAUAAAGAUGUCGAACUUUAGUCAAAUUGACCAAAGUGCGAGGAUGGAACACUUCGGAGAGUCCGAAGGUGUUAAGAUGAUUAAAAGUGAGUUGUGGAAGGUUUUCGAGAGCUAAAGAAUUGAAUUCUGCAAAACUGCAGAUUUUCAGCUCUCGGGGACCGGUCCCUGAAGGGAGAGACCGGUCCCCGAACGCGUGCAGAAUGAGACAGCCGAAAAAUCGGCUAAGUCCUGGAAGAUCAGCUCUCGGGAACCGGUCUCUGUCUGAGAGACCGGUCCCCCAGAGACCGGUCCCACAAGGAGAGACCGGUUGCACUGCGCGCAGCAGCUCUGGCUGCGCAGGGUGGACGUUCGGGAACCGGUCCCUGCUCGGGGAGACCGGUCUCUGCCUGCGCGAACUGCCCAGUUCGGGCAGUGUAUUAAAGUGAAAGUUGAGGGGUUUAUUUGCAUUUUGGCAACCCAUUGAGUAUAGUAUUGGGGUAAAUGAGAUUUUCUCUCAUUUUCACCCCUCUCACACUCUCUUCUCUCCCUCUCUCUCUCUAGAAGACAAAAGAGAAGAAGAAGAAAGGAAGAAAAGAAGGAAAAGAAGAGGAAGAAAGUGGAGAAGAAGAAGAAGAAGUGAAGAAACUCCUUCUCCUUCAUCUCUAGCUUGAAGAAAGGGAAGCUUAUAAGGUAAGCUUCAAACCCUAAUGUAGUAAAACCCUAGAAAUGGGUUUGAAUGAACCUAAGGUUGGUUUUUAAUGGAAUAUAUAGUAGUUUUGAAGCUUUCUUUUGCUUCUAAAGAGAUCAAAACCUAGUUUUGAUACAUAGGUGAGCUUGGACCACCUCUAAUGGUGAAAUCCAAACUAGGGUUUUGGAAAGCCUAAGAAUGGUUCUAAUGGACUAAUUAGAGUAUAAUGAAGCUACUUUUGCUUCCCAAUGAGAUCAAACCCUAGGUUUUGAUAUACAUUGGAGCUAGGGCACCCAAAUUGGGGCUUUUGCUCAUAAGGGUUUCUAAGUGCAAUUGACCCUCUAAAAACCUAAUUGGGGAUAUUCCCGACGCGUUGGUGCGCUCGGAAAAGCGUUUCGAAAAGUCAAAGUAAAGUUAUGAGCAAAAUGGCCUAAUAAGGGUUCGUUUUGCCGCAGGUAAAGAACGAGAGGUCUAAAAAUCCCAAGAAAAUCCUCGGAGCACCUAAAUAGACCUACAAGGUGGGUGGUGCUUUCCAAACUCAUUGAAAUUCUCUCUAUGCCUAAUGUGUCAUUCCUUGAGCAUAUGUACUAUAUAUUGUUGCAUGCAUUUUAGGGUAAAGUAAUGAUGAACUGUGAUGAUUGCAUGAUUGUGAGCACAACUUGCAUGAUGAGAUGGUUGAGAACCUAAUAAUGUCAAAACCCUAGAUGUAUGCAUGAGAGGAAAUGUGAGCACCCAAAGUGAGCAAAAGAACAGAGUGGCACAAUGACAUAGACCGAGUGGCAUUUGAAAAUGUGAAGUAAAGAGACACUAGAGUUAGUGUGAUGCAAAGAUACAAGGUAAUGUAAAGAAUGAUGAAAAUGACAAUGUCUAAAGUUAAAGUAAUGUGGGGAAUAAAGAAUAUAAUGGCUAGAGUUAGCAAAAGUAAAAGAAACGUAAAGAAUGUGAUUGCAUGAGUUUGCAACAUAAAGUGAUGUAAAGAACACUAGAGCUAGUGUAAAGUCAAGAUUGAACUUAUAAAUCCUUUGAGUUAAGGAUUCGAUCAUACUUGCUAUGAGUUCCGUGCUCGAGGGCGGUCGCUCCCCCUCGGGCGAUGCGCUCCGGAGUUAUGCAUCCGGGUUGGAGUAGACCCGAAAGGACGGUCCUAGCUGGUGAGUUCCUGCGAUGAUGGACUUAAUGUGAAGCAAGUUAAUGUGGCGAAACCCCCGGGUUAGCCUUGAGAUUAAAGAACAAAGAGCAAGGAACAAAGUACAAAGAACAAGAACAAAGAGUAAUGUGAAAAGAAUAAAGAAUUUGCAUAAUCUGCAUAUAUUUAAUGUUGAGCAUAUUUCUUGCUAUUUGUUCAGGCAUAUUAGCAUCAUGUUAUAGAACGGUUACUAUCUUACUUAUCUUUCUAUUAUGCCUGAGUUAGUCCUAGUGGGAAAGUCGGUGAUGUUGGGGCCGAACCCACUGGGAACUUUGUUGUAGUUCUCACCCCACUAUUUCCACAGAGCCGGGACCGAGCGAGCCGACGAGCGACCGCGGUAAAGGUAUCGCGCCUUAGACAGAGGCCACCAAUGUCGGAUUUCAUUUUGUAGUAAAGUACCUUAUGAUCAUCUUUUGUAUUUGAUGAUUAGUAGUGUAAAGAAAGGAAUGUAAAGCUUAUUUUGAGGAAAAUGUGAUGUAAGAAAGAAAUGAUGAAAUUUUGUAUUGGAAUGCAAAGAAUUCAAAAUUACUAGAUGAAUGCAAUGUAUAUGAUCCAAAAUGAAUCAUGUUACUUGUGAGUGUUUAGUUUCCUUUUUCUUUCACUAAUGGCUGUUGCUUACCCUCGAGUAAGCCGUUUGUGUAUGUUUCCGCUAGUGCACUUCUUAUUGAAAAUGUACAUGUGAUGAGCCUUGGGCGGAUAGGGGAAACUCUGUCCGUUCGGCGUCUGUUUGACGUGCUCGGGUCGGGCCAAAUUGGCAUCGGUCCCGGGGCGUGACAUUUCAUACCUAUCCACACCACUNUGAAAUGUAAGAAAUUCGAAAAUGAACCGGAUGAAUGUAUGUAUAUGAUAAAAAAUGAAUCAUAGCACAAGUGAAUGUUUAGUUUCCUUGUUCUUUCACUAAUGGCUAUUGCUUACCCUCGUGUAAGCCGUUUGUGUAUGUUUCCGCUAGUGCUUUUCUCUAUUGAUGAAAAUGUACAUGUGAUGAGCCUUGGGCGGAUAGGGGAAACUCUGUCCGUUCGGCGUCUGUUUGACGUGCUCGGGUCGGGCCGAAUUGGCAUCGGUCCCGGGGCGUGACACUAAUUAGAGUGUCUUUACAAUUAAAUUUGAUGAUUACAAAUAAUAAUAAAAUUUGGGCUAAUAUUUUAUUUUGAGUUUGUAUUUAGACCUCUUAUGUCACGCCCCGAGGCCGCCAAUUUGGUCGAUUCGGGCACGCCGAUAGACGCCGAACGGACAGCACCUCCCCUGUCCGCCCAAGGCUACAACAACAUGUAUAAUACAAACAAUUCAAUACAGGAUGAAUGCAAUUAUACAAGGUUUGCACGAGGACAAACAACAACUAAUUCACAUGUGAAAGCAUUGAAACUAACUAAACAUUUAUCCCCAUACAUGUUAUUUGAUUACAUUUGAAUCAAACACAAUAAACUAUUAUUUACAUUUAUUCUUUCCAUUCAUUUACAUCACAUUGUCCUUUAACCCAAAAUAAAAGGUUUACAUCAUUUCACAAUCUAGUUCAACAUACAAAAGUUGAAGCUAUUACAUAUAGGGUAUGCCUAUACUCCGAGGGCCGCUAUCUAUGGCGCGAUACCCUUGCCUCGAUCCUCUGCCGCCCCGCUCGCGCACUGAUCUGCAGGGUUAGUGGUGGUAUGAGAACUAAACAAAGUUCCCAGUGGGUUCGGCCGCCGACUGCGCCGAAUCGCCCACUAGGUCUAUUCAGGCAUAUGUAUUUCAAUAAGGAUAGAUAUUCAAACCAGCUAAUGUAACUAAUACAAUGCCUGCAAGAAAGUAGUCAGCAGAUAGAUAAUUCAUAAUCAUGAUAAUUAUGCAUGCAUGUUCUCGUCCUCAUUUUUUCUGGCUUUUACUCAAUUUUCCUCGGGUACUCUUGGUUCACCCCAAACGCACAAACCACAAUUCCCGUCUACCGGGGGAGGCUACUAGCACUACCAACCGAGGGAACGAUGACAGGGCCGCUCCCCGUGGUGUCUACACUCCGGAGUACACAACUUGAGGAGGAGCUACCUUCCUCAAGCCAAAAGUAAUGUGAGUACGAUUCAAUCCUCAAUUUGAGGAAGAAUUGCCAAACCCGUCUCAAUGCACAAAGCCUCGAUGCCUAUGAUAGGUUAUUAUCAUAUCACAUUUCCAUUAUACCUGAGCCAUAAUGGUCCUGAUGCCAUAAUAAGCUAAACCUUGUUUAGUCAUUUACAUUCUCGGUGCCAAUCUGGUCACUAAUGUUAAUGUCACCUUUGUUUACUAUUGUCGUAGUCUGUUCUUGCAUUCACUUACACAUAGGGUUCUUUCAUACAUAGUUCACGUGGUUCUUUAUCAUUUCACAUAUUCUUUAAGCAUCUAAAUGCAAUUCAACAAAGAACACAUAUCACACUACCCUAUAUGCCUGAAUGCUGACGCUAAUAUGCUCAAAGAAGGUAACAUAGACAUAGAGAGAAAUCCGGUGUUUCCGGACAGCACCCCCCACCUGUGGGUAUGCUAGGAUGCCGUGGUCCAGUUUUCGUGAUUUUUAGAGUUCUACGCCGCAAGUUGCGACGAUCUGUACCAAUUUAGCCCGUUUCUUCAAUUUCUCUGGCACGCUCGUCGCAUCGCCGAACCGAGCGCACCAACGCUUUCGUUGACCUACCAAUUAGGUUAAAAAGAGAUCAAUCCCAAGAUUAAACCUCAAAAUCUCAAAACCCUAACUUUAGGUCCUUGUACAAUAUCAUCUUCCCCAAUAUUGGUCCCUCACAUGAAUAACAUGGGGAAAAAUCCUCUAUACAUCUCCUAGAAGCAUGCUAGAAGGAAAACAAACCCAAACCUAGCUUAAAACCAAGAAAUCUCACCUUUUAGUUCAAGCUUUUCCUUGUAUACUUGCACAAUAGCAAGCAACACCUUCAACUUUGCCUUCUUCUUCACCCAAGCUCCUCCAAAGCUCUCCUUGUCCAAGCUCUAGAGAGAGAGGAAGAGAGAGGAGAAGGGUUUUUAGAGAGAGAGAGGAAGGGAUAUUUGUUGUGGGUGAGAAAUGAGCCCUAAUACAUAAGCCUCUCAUCUAUACACCCAUCUCAUGUGACAUUUGCACCUUAGCGUCUCAAUUUUCUAUUUUUCCAAUCAGCUCUCACUGGGCAUUUUUCGUAUACGGGUACCGGUCUCUCUCCACAGCGACCGGUCCCCGAGAGCACCACUCUCAAGACUUAGCCAAAUUUACACAUUUUUGGCUGGCUACGCGUACGGGGACCGGUCUCUCCUCCAGGGACAGGUUCCUGAGAGCACGAUUUCCAAAACUUAGCCGCUGGGCAAUUUUCCAACCUACGAGGACCGGUCUCUCCGCUCAGGGAUCGGUCCCCGAGAGCUAAAAUUUUGGGACUUAGCCAUUUUCCUAGAUUUCACUCUCCCAGGUCCCUUUACAUCAUACCAAGGUUCCAAAACACUUAGAACCCAUUCCAACUCGUUCCACUCCGCGCUCCGUUUGUUUCAACAGAACUCGGCAUGAUUUACGGGGAAGCGAUACGUUACAUUCCCCACCCCUUAAAAAUAGUUUUGUCCGCGAAACUCAACACGUACCUUAGUUCAUUUGCUCGAAUAAGUGAGGAUAGACCUCGCGCAUCUUCUCCUCAAGCUCCUACGUGGAUUCACGCCUUGAGUGAUUACUCCAUUGCACUUUUACAUACGGAGUAGUCCGAUUCCGCAGCUUCCGCUCCUCUCGAGCAAGAAUGCUCACCGGAAACUCUUCAUAAGUGACAUCCUCGUGCAACUCCACCGGCUCAUACUCCAACACAUGUGAGGAGUUUCGAAAAUACUUGCGGAGAUUCGAUACGUGAAACACGUUGUGCACUCCCGCAAGCUUUGGCGGUAAUGCUAACUUGUACGCCACCGGCCCAAUCCGCUCAAGGACCUCAUAAGGGCCAAUAUAUCGGGGACUAAGCUUCCCCCGAAUGCCGAACCACUUCACCCCGCGCAUUGGCGACACUUUGAGAAACACACGGUCGCCAACCGCAAAUUCCAAAUCCUUUCGGCGCUUGUUCGCAUAGCUUCGUUGCCGCGAUUGUGCCGUCAACAAUUGUUAGUGAGCAAGACGGACUUUCUCUUCUGCCGCUCGCAUCACAUCCGGACCAAGGGCGACUCUUUCACCCACCUCGCUCCAAUGGAUAGGAGAGCGACACUUACCCUCAAACGGUGCCAUCGCUAUACUUUCUUGAUAACUAUUAUUGUAAGCGAACUCCGCCAUCGGCAAAUACUCAUGCCACCCUCCACUGUAAUCGAGUACACACGCUCGCAACAUAUCCUCGAGUNCUUGAUAACUAUUAUUGUAAGCGAACUCCGCCAUCGGCAAAUACUCAUGCCACCCUCCACUGUAAUCGAGUACACACGCUCGCAACAUAUCCUCGAGUGUCACGCCCCAAUCCCCGCCAAUUUGGUCGGGUUCGGGUCGUGUCAACAGACGCCGAAUGGACAGAGCCUCCUCCGUCCGCUCAAGGCUCUAACAACAAGUAUAGAUAGGCAAUCAACAAGCGAAUUGCAUAUGUAAUACAAGGCUUGCAUGAGGGCAAGCAACAACGGAAGCGAAAGCUCUAAGCUAAAUAUACAACACACAUGAUAUUUGAUUAAAUUUAAACCAAAUACAAGUAAAUCUAUUACAUUCUUGCAUCAUAUCUUUUUACAUUUAGUCAUCCACCAAAUACAUGAUUGUUUACACUUAUCAUUCCUAAAUCAAUAGAAUAAAGUUGGUACAUGUAUAACAAAAGGGAAUGACUACAAAAUGUAUAAAGUCCCGGUGGCCGCUACCUACGGCGCCAAACCCUUGCCUCGGUCCUCCGCCGCCCCGCUCGUACUAGGACCUGUAGGGUUAGUGGUGUGAGAAACUAAACAAAGUUCCCAGUGGGCUCGGCAUCCGACCUCGCCGACUUACCCACUAGGUCCAUCCAGGCAUAAGUAUUUCAAAGGAGGAAAAGUAACCACUACUAAUGCGACUAAUACUAUGCCUGCAAGAAAGAAGUCAGUAGAUAUAUAUAAUUCAAUGCGAUAAUGGAAAUGCAUGCAUGCUCCAAUCAUAAUCAAGCUUUGGCUCUUACCCAAUCUUGCCGGUUAACUCUGUUAACCCUAAUAACUCACAACCCAAAAUCCCUUAAUAACGGGGGACUCGAACCUCCCUAGGGACCGUCAACUGGUGGGACUUUACCUCGCCCAGUGGUGACCAACUCCGGAGCGCACCGCUCGAGGGGGAGCGACUUCCCUCUAGCCAAGACGUAAUAUGAGUAUCGAUCUAAUCCCCAACUUGAGGAUUCAUAGCCACUGGUCACAAUGCCGAUGUCAUGAUAGGUCUCUACCUAUUCAUUCUUGUCACUCUCAAGGCCACACCCAUGAUGAUGCCAUAAUUUGGUUAAACUAUAUUUAACGGUUUAUCUCUCAAUGCCAAUCUUGUUUCUAUGUCAAUGUCACCCUUGUUUUCUAUUGUCCAAGUCCAACCUCACAUUCACACAACUUGAGGGUCCAAUCACACAUGUCCAUUUAGUCUAUCGUCAAUAUGUUCAACUAAGUAGAACAAUAAAUGAAGUCAAACCAAGUUCCACAUGUAUCUACCCUACUAUGCCUGAUGGUAAUAUAUACUAUAUAUAUAUAUAAUGACUCAAGAAAUAGAGAAACAGACAAUAAAGCGGAUCCAAUAAACGAUUCCGGUGCACCUCCCACCUCUAUUUGUGUGUGGGCGUUCAGUUUUUAAUUCGAAGGCUCCGCAACUUACGAAAGCCGAUUCGCCCCUAUAAUCAAAAAAUAGCGUCAUCAUAGGUCCCCUUGUCUAUGAGCUAUAACUCUAACAUUUUCGCUGAACUUAAACGAUUGCUAACGUGUUAAGACACCCGCCAAUCAGCAUACCAGAUUUUUAAUUAUAGUGAUAUAAAAUAAAAACUAGUGUGAGAUAACCUAUUUUAUUGGAUUUUAGACAAGUAGAUUAUAUUCGGCGAUUGACUCGUGUGAAAAUCGGAGUGAAAAAUAGAAUUGAGAAUUUUUCUUAGAUUAGACGGCUGAUAUUUAGCAGAAAAUGCCACAGUGUCAGAAAAUCCGAAAAUUUGAAAUAUUUAGGAUUAAUUUCUAUAGCUAGAUUUAAAGAUUUCAUGCAUUCUGACAGGCGUCAGGUGAAACUAAAACUCCGACGUUAAUUCUGAUAAAUAUACAGUUCGCUAAAGCUAUGCGAACCAAACGGGGUCAAACUGACAGAUAAAAUUUUCUUCAUUUAAGAUAAGGUAAAAACGAUCAUGACUGCCAAUUUGAGCUCAAUCGACCGUGUCUUAGGUAUACGAAAAUAUCUAGUACCGAGGCUACAAUCUGAUGGUGAUAGUGUUUGGGAAGUAUAAAAUGUGAACUUGCACUCUUUAUCUCAAUUUGUGCCCAAUGCCCGAGUAGAGACUUGGAGAGCAAAAUUUCUUUUCUCCUUUUCUCUCUUUCUCUUUAGUUCUCACACUCAUCCUUUAAUUCUUCUAACUCUCCACAAAAAAAUAUAUUGGAGAAGAAGUUUGGAGACGAAUCCUCGAAAGUUUGGAAGUAGCUUGGAGCAAUGCUUAUCACUCUGCCUCUCUAUAGAGAAGCUUUGGGAGUAAUCUUUGGUAAGUAACUAGUAGAUGGCUAAUGAGAAUGAUUCGUCAUGCUCUAGAAUGUUUAGAGAACUCCCUAGAUGCUAAUAAACAUGUUAAUUUCAUGAUCAAGUUCAAUUUUGUGAUCUCUUGGCAAUCAGUAGCAUGUUUUAAGCUCAAUUGAUUCUUAGCAAUAUUAGUAGAGUUUAUUCUAAAUUGCGCAUUAGUAUAAACCUAAUGCCUAAUUUUUCUGAAGCUUGGCGAAGUCUUCGACGAUAUCGAUCGAGGCUCACGCAAAUAUUGAAGAAAAGGCCGAUUUCGGUACAUGAUGCCGCAGCUCGCGACGUAACUUCCGAAAAAACACGAAACCCAGAAUUGUACAUCGUGACUCACCUAAAUCUUGGAGCUAUGAAUAGUCCAGGCAUGGCGAAGGGUCGUGUGUCUCUGUGGGUUGACCUCUCUAACAAAUGAGAAAAUCGUCAUUUAUGUGGCAUUUAAUUAAAUCGUAAAACGAAAAUCACGCAUUUUUCAUGAAAGAUGAUUAUUUGUCGAAUUUUAGAAAAUGCUUGAAAUGCUUAUUUAUAGUAAUCAUCAUUUUCGGAUCCAUCUAGUAAUAGAAGCUUGCAAGGAGCCUUUUAAGCAUGUGUUUAGCAUUAUAUGGCUUGGAAUCACUCUCUCAUAAUAGUAACAUGACAUAAUGUAAUAUGUCUUGACAUAAAAUCUCAUUGGACUCUGACAUCAUUAGGCCAUAAAGCGGCUUUGGGACUUGAAUAACUUGUGAGUUAGGAGCUAAUUCGUAAUCCGACAUCGGGCCUUGAAGCUUGAAUGAUCUAUCUACAAGUAAUUCAUAAAGAGCAUUAGACUUGAAUGAUAUGUAAUUGUAUUGUGCUAUUAAAUUAUUAGUAAUUAUGCUAAGUUGUAGUUGUAAGGUAGAGUUUAGCAUGUAGCAUUAUGAAAACUAUGCUAAGUUGAUAGUUGCUACGGACGCCUUUGAAACCAUAUGCUAGUGAUAAGAGCAUAUUAAUAUUUAUAUGCAUUGGGGAAUACAUGCUAGAUUAAUAUUAGCAAUAUGAAUCUGAUGCCUAGAGAGCUGCUUAUAAACUAUUUAUUAAGUAUAUCUUAAGCUAAUGUCAUAAGCGACAUUGAACUUGGACAUAGUAUGAACCUUAGUAAGCUAAUGUCAAUAAACGAUACCCUUGGGCUUGGAAUGGUGAUACUAAUGCCGUAAAGGGCAUUACGACUUGAAUACGUAUGGACUUAGUAAUGCUAAGGUCACAAUAGGACAUUGGAUAUCAUUGACAUGUAAACCUUCACUUGAGGGCAUAGACUAGACCUAUUGGGUUGCUAGUGAUAAUUCAUAUUUUCGACCAUGAGACCUUAUCUUCAACAGUCGUGUUCUCACGCCAGACAUGCCUUCGGUGGUCGCUCAUACCAGAACACUUCGAUUUUUUUUUUUUUGGGUCUCAUCGCAGAACAGCUCGUUGGUUCUCAUACCAGAACAGCCAUCGUGGUUCAUUACGCAGAGCAGCCUCGGUGGUCUCACCCAAGACAGCCUUCCCGGUGUCCUCAUACCAGGACGCUCUCGUGGGUCUGCUACAUCCCAGACAUCUUCGGUGGUCUUAUCAGAGUUGAACUUUUAAAAUAAAGCUGCCUAUGUGACAUUGACGUAGAACAUGUAAACAAUAAUGAUAAACACUAUUUGAUGGUAUCAUCGGUUCCGUCUGUUGACAUUCGGGAAUUGUGGUAAAAAAAACUCUAAUUAUCCUACGAAGUAUCCUUCGUAUUGUAUUACUUGUUCAUCACAGGCUUUUGUACCAGUGCGCAUAUCUGUUAUGCAUCGCAUAAUUGGAUUUCAUGAUAGAUAGAUGUACUCCAAACGUUCAUAUCAGUAUAUUGUGCAUAGUAGAAUAGAUUUCAUAUAUGCAUUAUAUUUCCGCAGUGUUAUUUCUUAUCUAUAUCUUGCUCUUGACUUGGGCCUAGUGGGUGCAUUUUGCUAGUCAGUAAAUUGCCGUACUGGGAACUAUAAAUUAAUAGUUCUCUUACGCCCUUUUUUAUGUUCUUUCAAAGCCUUUCACUCAGAGAGCUCAGAUACGCGGAAAGAACGCCUCGUGCUAGCUAGCGAGGAUUAUUGAUAGGUGUCCCACUCUCUUUUUGUUUCUUUUGUAAGGUUGAGAGAUUUGUACCAUUUGUAGAGACCGACCGACCCUUUUGUAACUUUGGAUGGAUAUCAUGUUAAAUUUAUGCUUUACUUUUAUUGUUAUUUGUUCUAUCUACUAUAGAUUAUAGAUUUAUAAUGCUGCUGAUAUUCCUAAUGUAGUUCUCAACUCUUAUCUUAUUCUUUCCGCUUGUUGGUAACGCUAUAUGUGUAGCAUAUCAUGCGGUCUGUGGCACCGCACCGGCAGUGCUCUCCGCGGGUCCCGGGCGUGACACCCAUUAGGCUUUCCAUCGGGUCAAUUGUCCCAAACUCUAGGCAAAAGCCCCAAAUUCAACCCUAAUAUUGUCAUUAGGGUUUUCCCAUGAAUCGAUUCGCAAACCUUAACAAACAUAGCUAGGAUCACCUAAAAAGCACUCUAGUAAGGUUUCUAGACCUUUGGUACCAACCCUAGGGCUCCAAACACCACUUCCAAGGAUUCACCAUGAGAGCACUUUGAGCUCUCAUGGGAACCAUGGUGUACAUGGCUCAAAAGAGCCUUUAAAGCCUCUAGGGAGCACAAAGCUCCCAUUUUCUAAGCCAAAAUCCAAACCCUAAGCUCAUUUCUACUAAAUACUCACCUUAGCCCAAGCUCCUCCAAGUCCUUCUUGUAGGAGAGCUUGUAGAACCCAUCAAAGCCUUCAAAUCUACCUUCCCUUACUUCUUCUUCUUCUUCUCCAAGCCCUAGAGCAAGAGUUCUAGAGAGAGAAAGAGAGGAAAUGUGAGAGAAGGGUGAAAAUGGCUGUGGGAGAGAGAGGGGUGUCUAUAUAUAGUGUUGUAACAAUUACAUUUAAGCCCCUCCACUUGUUUCCCCUGAUCUGCCGAGACUGGGCAUCUUUCGCCUUCGGGGACCGGUCUCCCCGACCAGGGACCGAUUCCCGAACGGGGGUUUUUCAGGACUUAGCCAAAUUUUCGAGUUUUUCAGCUGUUGCGCAACGAGGGAUCGGUCUGCCCGUCAAGGACCGGUCUCCCGAGGACCGGUCUCACCACUAAGGACCGGAUGCCUCAGGAUUUCCUAGCAGGCUACGCGCACGGGGACCGGUCUCUCCUUCAGGGACCGGUCCCCGAGAGCUCAAAAUCUCGGACUUAGCCAGAUUUUCAGAUUUGCUCUCCGGGUCCCUUUUUGCUCCGUUUAUAAACUCUAAUGCACUUAGGGUCCACUCUAACUCGUUCAAUUUCGCGUUCCGCUCGUUUUGACGGAACUCGGUACGAUUUACGAGGGAUGUGGUAUGUUACGUCGAGUAUUUGAAUUGACCUCUCUGACUGGCCAUCACUCUGCGCAUGAAACGCCGUACUGAAAUCGAGCCGCGUGCCUAUAGCAUCCUGCAAGCUCUUUCAGAAAUCAGAAGUGAACCGGGGAUCUCGAUCUGAUACAAUCGAUAAUGGAACCCCAUGCAAUCUCACUACCUCAUCCAAGUAGACUUGUGCUAACUUUUCUCCGGACCAUGUGGUGUGGAUCGGCAAGAAAUGAGCCGACUUUGUCAAACGGUCCACAACCACCCAUAUGGCAUUAUGUCCAGCUUGCGAUCGGGGUAGUCCGACCAUAAAGUCCAUCGUUGUGUCUAUUUCCACAUGGGGAUUGGUAAGCUCUGCAACUUCCCCGCGGAAAAUCGACGCUCGACCUUCACUUGUUGGCACGUCAAACACUGCACCACGAACUCCCCAAUGUCUCUUUUCAUGCCCGGCCACGAAUAAUGCAAUUUUUAGGUCUUUGUACAUCUUUGUGCCGCCCGGGUGAAUACUAUGCGGGGAAUGAUGCGCCUCUUGCAAUACCAUCUUACGGAUUUCAUCAUCUUUGGGUACACACAACCGGUUUCUGAACCGAAGUGCAUCGUCGGAUCCCACGCCGAAGUCACCGGCGCGUCCGCCCUUAAUGUCUGUCACGCCCCGGGACCUAGCGGAAGCCCGCCCGGCGCGUGUCCAGACCCGCCAUAUGUCUAAAACAUAUAAGGCGUCUAAAACAAAACGAUAAAUGAAGCAGUAAAAAGAGAACAUCUAGGAGUAUCAGAGCAAGUAUAUCUAGAUGCUACAAUAGAGAAAAAAAACUAUAAAACUAAAAUCCACUAGAUGAAAACAUAAAGUAGUACAAGAAGAAUCCCGAAAUAAGUGCUAUAAGUAAAUACAUAGGUGGUCUCUAUACAUGGAUACAAAACCUCUCUCUCUCUCGACAACAACAAAAAGAGAGAAAACUACCUAGGCAACAGUAAAUCCUCGCUAUCUAGCUAGCGAUCCCCUUACCGCGAUUCCGUGCCUCCGCCGGUGCAGAGGGUUCUGAAAAGGAAACAUAGAAACAGGGGCGUGAGAACUAUUAAAUAAUAGUUCCCAGUGGGCAAUUACUAACUUCAGUGAAAGCACCACUAGGCCCAAAAGAGCUAAACAGGUAAGUAACAAUAAAAGCGAUAGAAUCGAUAUGUAAGUAAACAUGUAAACUUACUACAACAUGAUAUCUUUAUUUAGCAUGAAUUUGCAUAAGUAAUAGAGGACUAUUCUAACAUAAAUGUACCCAAGUAUCACUGGCAUGAUGUCCACAAGCUAAAUAGUAAAAUGUUUUGUUUACUAUUCUAGUCAAUGUCCAGUCGAUAUGCUAAGUCAUCGGAGUGCCGGCUUGUAAGGAGCGACCCUCACAAGCAUGUGCGAAUGAGCACAAUGGCAAGCAAGCAAAAGAUCUGUCUCAAGUAUCAAGUCCUUAUGUCUAAAAAUAUGGAAUAUACGUCGAAUGUCUCAAAGGCCUAUCUCUAUGUCAUCAUGUCUCUAACAUGGAAUAUAGCAGAUGUUCAAUGGCCUAUCACUAUGUCUCUAUGUUGCAGUUUCACAGUUUACUAUGUCAAGUGCCUCUUUAUGGCAUUUUUGUCNUCCACUAAGUCCAAACAUGAGUUUAUUGUUUACAAAUGCAUAAUUUGAGCAAAUUCUAACAUAAGAGACAUGUUUCCGAGUCGCUAACACGAACACUUCUCAUGUACAUGCAAAAUGCCAGAAUGCCUUACUAUAUAGAGUGAAAUUUUCAUGAUACAUAAGGCAUGCAUUUUAAGUGUUCUAAAAUUCACAUAAAUCCCAUUUAACAUGAAUAUGAAAUCAAAUUGACGUUACGACAAGUAUAGAAUACUUAGGGGCUAUUUCGCCCCGAUUUCAUGAAAUCAAACCCACCGAAGUUACCGAAACCCUUCGUAAGCUCCGACGAAGGUGUCCACCAGUCUCCUAGUACCCUAAAGGUAUAGAAAAGAGAGUCAAACGAACCUUACGAACAUCCAAGUGAUCGAUCAUUAACCAUCUCAAGCUAAGGUAGAGAAACUCACCUCAAGUGAAGAAAUCCUUUCUCAAGCUCUAAAUGGGAGUUAGAGUUCUUCAAAUCCAACGUAAAGAAAGGUUCUAAGCCCAUCAAUUAGGUUUCAAAGCCCUCAAAUCGAAAAUCCCCAAAAUAAACCCUAAUUCCACAAUCUAGGGUUUCAUCUAGUAAAAUCUAGAAAAUUUGUAUUCUAUGGAGAAUACAAGCUACCAAUCUUAAGAUAAGCUCCAACCGAAGCUCUAAACCAAGUAGGGUUGAAGUUUGAUCCUCCACAAAGCUUCAACCUCGAGCUCCAAGCCACCAAUGUGUGAUGAGAGGAAGAAGAUGAUGCUCCAAGGCCUCCAAGUAAGCUCCUAUCCUCUCCUUCAUCUUCUUCUCCUUCUCUUUCUCUCUCUAGUGUGGGUGUGAGGGAGAGAAAUGAGAGUGAGAGUGAGAGUAAGAGAGAGGACCAUAUAAGCCAUCCCAAGUAACAAAAUCCACUUAGGUCCCUCAACAAUCAACACUGUGCACAGCCCGGUCUGGGCAGUUUUCGGACUGAGGGACCGGUCUCCCCGACCUGGGACCGGUCUCUCAGCCUGCCUUGAAAAUCCAACGUUCGGGAACCGGUCUCUCCCCGCAUGGGACUGGUCUCUCCUCGCGUAGUCGUGCUCGGGGACCGAUCUCAUCCUUUAGGGACCUGUUGCCUCGCUGGCUGCCGCAACACUGUUCUGAGGGGACCGGUCUCUUCUAUCAGGGACCGAUUCCCGAGAGUGAAAACUCUCCGGACAAUGCCAAAACUCCAGGAAUCGAAUUUUUAGGUCGGAAUACCAUCUACGACCUUCCACCAAGUGUGGAAAAGUUCGGAAUCCAUAUCAAAUACUCGAAUCUCGCAAUUCGCAAAGGUCCAGUGUGCUACAAUGUCAUUCCGCACCUUUUGAAGAUACAGAUCAUCAACUUGCCGCUCCUUAAUCCGCUCCAAUACGGUCGGUCAAACCACUAGUGCCGCCAAAAUGGUCGGAACCUCCGGCGCCACUACUUCCAAUCUGAACCGUUGCAUUUCUUUCUGCAACAACGGUUGACUAGUAACUGUCGUCGCUAAGUUCUCAACAGAUUUUCUACUUAGCGCAUCGGGAACGACAUUAGCUUUUCCGGGGUGGUGUAGGAUAGUAAGGUCAUAAUCCUUCAACAGCUCCAACUACCGCCGUUGCAACAUGUUUAACUCUUUCUAGAUGAACAAAUACUUGAGGCUCCUGUGAUCGGUAUAUACCUCACAAUGCUCGUUCAUUAACCUCAUUUACUUGUUCAUUAAUCUCAUGGCUUACCCGAAGGCUCGCCUACAGCUCACUAGCCAUCUCGACACGUAGGNNNNNNNNNNNNNNNNNNNNNNNNNNNNNNNNNNNNNNNNNNNNNNNNNNNNNNNNNNNNNNNNNNNNNNNNNNNNNNNNNNNNNNNNNNNNNNNNNNNNGGCUCAGGGGUACUUUCAAAUUGAGGGAAUAGACUUUGAAGAAACCUUUGCUCCGGUUGCCCGUCUUGAAUCCAUUCGUAUCCUGUUCGCGAUUGCUUGUCACUUUAAAAUCACGCUCUUUCAAAUGGAUGUCAAAAGUGCGUUUUUAAAUGGAUUUUUAAAAGAGGAAGUUUAUGUUGAACAACCGAAAGGUUUUAUAGACUCAAAAUUUCCAAAUCACGUUUUUCGACUGAAAAAGGCACUUUAUGGACUAAAACAAGCUCCGCGAGCAUGGUACGAACGCUUGACAAAAUAUCUUUUGGAAAAGGGCUAUAACCGAGGGGGAGCAGAUAGAACUCUUUUUGUGAAACACCUGAAGGAUAAUUUCAUUGUAGCACAAAUAUAUGUGGAUGACAUAGUUUUUGGGGCUACUAAAGAUAAGGAUGCCGCUGAUUUUGCAAAGUUAAUGACCAGUGAGUUUGAGAUGUCAAUGAUGGGGGAGCUUAAUUAUUUCCUCGGGCUUCAAGUCAAACAAUCAAAAGAUGGAAUUCAUUUGUCACAGACAAAGUAUGCGAAGGAACUAGUUAAGAAAUUCGGAUUAGAAAGUGCAAAGGAUUUUGACACUCCCAUGGGUACAAGCAACAAAGGACUGGGAUUAAAUUCAGAAGGUCAGAAUAUAGAUGAGAAACAAUACAGAAGCAUGAUUGGUAGCCUUUUGUAUCUGACUGCGAGCAGACCUGACAUUGCGUUUAGUGUUGGAAUAUGUGCUCGUUAUCAGGCUAAUCCUAAGGAAGUACAUCUGAAAGCAGUUAAAAGGAUUAUUCGGUAUGUUAAAGGAACAACCGAGUAUGGACUAUGGUAUCCUAUGGGAACGUCUCUUGACCUAAUCGGCUACUCGGAUGCUGACUGGGCAGGCUCCGCAGAUGAUCGGAAAAGUACUAGUGGAGCUUGUUUUGACAUUGGACAUUGUUUGGUCGCUUGGCACAGUAAGAAGCAAAAUUGCAUUGCUCUUUCCACUGCAGAAGCUGAAUACAUUGCAGCUGGAAGUUGCUCUACUCAAUUAAUUUGGAUGAAAAGCUUACUAAGCGACUAUCGGAUUCCUUCUACCACUCUGACUAUUCUGUGUGACAAUACGAGUGCAAUUAAUAUUUCUAAAAACCCUGUUUUACAUUCUCGAACAAAACAUAUUGAACUAAGAUAUCAUUUUUUAAUAGAACUUGUAGAAUCAAACGUUUUACAACUUGAAUACAUUUCAGCUGAAAAUCAACUUGCAGAUAUUUUAACCAAACCUUUGGAUCAAAAACGUUUUCUGCAUUUGAGAAAGGCAAUUGGUAUGAACCCAUCAAUCUAGAUAUAUUCUAUUGAGCCACAGAUCAUGUGCAUGUUGCAUAUUUUUUCUUUUCUUGCAUGCUUUUCGGUGUUUAUGAUUUGUUUGAUUUUCUUGCUUGAUGUUGCCGUUUCGGGAAAUGAGUUGAUCUGUGAAUUUAAGUAUUUCAUAUUUAAGUUUUGAUUGAUCAAUGUCAGGGUUAUUCUCUAUUGACAUAUUCUUGAACGAUCAAAUCCUUGAAAUUCUAUUUAACAUAUUAAAUCAAAUUCAGCACCUCAUGCUUCGAACUUUGAAUAUUGCAAUUGUUUGUUUGAUUAUUAGUUUUGAGAUGAAUAAAUCUUUCUCUAUUUUUGAAAUUGCUAAAAUAUUUUUGACUUGAGGGUUGCACUAAUUUAGGGGGAGUCUUGCCGAUUUUAGCUAUGAAAAUUUAUGAAAUUCAAGAUGUGGAAAGAGUUACAUCCCCGCUGGGAGUGUGAAAACUACCACCACAUGGAGGAAAGAGCUACCACCCCGGUCGUCCGGUCAGUGUGUGCAGCUACCACAUGAUGAUCAAUAUAUCUCUAUGAGCUAAAAGCCAAUAACGAAUGAAUCAAAAUGAGAUGUUGUGGAGAUGGUAAAAUUCUAAUACUAUGUUUAAUACAUCUCCUAGGCGAUAUAAGGUGGUUUGUUAAAAGAUGCUCAAAGAGCCACUCUUAUCUCGAAUUAUGUGCAUAACUCAAGUUGAGAAUAUUUUUUUAAUUUCCUGAUUAUGAGAUUUAUUUAUUCAAUUUCUUAACAAAUAUGAUGAUAAAAUGAUGCAAUUUAUCCCUAGAUCUUGCAUGAUGUGUGGAAUUUUAUUUGAUACUUAUCAAGAAUUUUAUUUGAUUUUCGGAUCAACAAUAUUUGACAAAUUGAAUAUCUUUGAGAUUGAUUUUCAAAAUUUAUUUAUGAAAUUUUAUUGGAAGUUUUUGGGGAUGGAUAUUAUGUAUUUUUGCUGUUGGAUAUGUUGAGGAUAUUAUAUAGAAUUUUUGAAAAUUUUGGACGAAAAAUGGAUUUUUCGGUUUUGGCUCUGGGACCGGUCCCAGACUUGGAGAGACCGGUCCCUCCGCCCGGACCGAUAUAAGGGUUUGCGGUCCGGUUUCUUCUCACUUUACCAAACUCGUUCUAACUUCUCCCUAGGGCCUCUAACAUACCUAGGGUGCUUUUGCUUCAAAUCUUCAUCAAUUUACACUUGAUUUUGGUAUGAUUCUCGGAUUUUAUUUCGUUGGUAUCUUAUAAUCCGAAUUUAUGCUUUAUUUUCAAUUUUUGGAGGAUUUGUUCUCAUUAUGUUGUUAGAUCUUUUCUUUUUUGCCCUGAUCUUACCUCUAGACAUGUUAGUCAACAUUUUCCUGCAUUAUUUCAUAUUUUGAUAUAAUUGUUUGGUUGUUUUUGCUAUGUUUUCUUCAUCAAGACCUAAUUUUUUUCAAAUUUUUCGAAAAUUGGGAUUUUACUGAUUUUUGAUGCUUGUUUUGUCCAUGAUUUUCAUGGUUAUGUGGCCCUAGAAUUAUCUAGUACAUUACAUAUCAAUUUUCGAAAGUUUUUUUUAAUUCACAAAUCAAUUGUUUUUAUGUUCAAUAUGUAUAAAUUAUUGUGUUUAUCAGGGGUUUCUUCGAAAAUGUACUCGUGGAUACUUGUUCUUGUGGUUCUUAUGGCUGGAGGUAGUCGUGGCAGUAAGCGACAGCGCUCAAAAGCUAAAAGGCCGAUUGAGUAUCAACCGGAGGAUGAAGAGAGCGAAUAUGCUCCUGGUGAUGAACCUGAGGAGGACGAACCGGAUUGGGAGACUUUUGUUCCCGAGGUAUUGGCUAAGGAUAAGGAUACUGGGAAAGGCAAAGGAAAAGGAAAAGCCGUGGAUAAAGGCAAAGGAAAGGCAACUUAGCGUCCCAGUCGUCGUAAGUCCGGGGGUGUUGAAAUUCGAGAACCAGGCUCUGAACCACCACGUCACAGUCUACAGGAUGUUCCAUCUAAUCGUCGGUCGAUGUACUCGUCGAAACACUGUAUUGGUGAGCGAGAUGUUGGGGUGGCCAGUAUCAUUAGUUGUGUGCCGGGUUUUUAGGAUUUAUUUGAACAGGGGAAUCUUCAUCAGAUUUGUGAUUUUCCGGAGCAAACCGGUUAUUGUUUGGAGUUGAUCAGAGAAUUUUACAUGAGAGCAGGUCACCUCAGUGACUCCGACGGCGGUCCGUACGUGUUUAAGACUUCCGUAUGUGGUGUUGAGUUAUUCAUCACUCCUGAGACAAUAGCUUCGGUGCUAGAGAUGGAAGCAACGACUGACGGAGUGGAGUAUCUUCAGGCUGGAUUCGACUCACUUCGCUUUGGAACCGUGUCGUGAACACUAUUUGUAUGCCGGGUACUGAAUCAAACGGCAUUAUGGUUAUGUCAAAAGAUUUCAAAAUGGAGUACAGGUUUCUGAACUUUGUGGUUUGCUACAACAUCAUGCCUCUCGCGAACACGAAAAUCUUGAGAUGGGAUCGUAUUCUGUACAUGUAUCUCUUGGGUAGGCCGGAUAUUGUAAGUGCCAAAAAUAUUAACAUGAAUAUUCCGUUUCUGAUCUGGCGGAGAAUGGCAAAAGAUAUCAAGACUUCCGGACAAAAUGAGAGGUUACCAUUUCCUUUGAUAAUUAUGAGGAUUUUGCGACUUCGUGAGGUGGAUGUUCGGUGUACAUCAUACGAGCACAGUUUGGGUCGGAUCAAUGAAAGGACGUUUGUAAAGUCCUCGGUGCAGCUUCGUACGCCGUCUCAACGUGCUUCUUCCCCUCCUGCAGCUCCACCUCCUGCUACUGCUACUUCUUCACGUCCUUCUAUGGACAUUUCUGAGGAAGAUAUUUCCGUUUCAUCGGUGUAUCGCGAGCAGCAACGUCUAUCUGAGGAGCUUCAGAAGUUGUCUGCAGAACAAGCUGCGAUUCGUAAGGAUGUGAGCAAGAUGAAGCGCUUGUUGAAUAUGAUUUUUGACAAAUUGGGAUGUUGUCGGGCCGAUUUACCUUCCGGAGAUGAUUCUGACUAGGAUUUACCGACCUUCUCCUUUUGUCGUUUUGGCGCUUUCUGACAAAAAGGGGGAGAUGAUGGGAUGGAUGGAUGGUCUCUUAAUGAUGAUGAUGAUGCAUUUAGCUUAGGGCUUUGCUUAGUUAAGAUGACUUUGUUUUAAUGCUUUAGGUGUUUGGUGUUUUCGUUUAGUUUAACUAUGAACUAUGAAGUGUGAACUUUAGUUGAUUGUUUGAUCUUCUUGAUACUUCUUGAUACUUGAAUCUUGAUUAUGCUUUGAGAAUGUUUUUGCAGGAAUAAUUCAAGACUUCAAGACUCCAUGUCUAAGUCAUAGAGUUUGUAUUAAGGUUGUAAAAGUGUAAAUUUUGUUUAUUGGAUUGAUCAUGCAGGAGAUUAUCGUUUGGUGAUUGCGAUGAUCUUCUUUUUAUGACUUAUUGGUUGUAUACGAGCUUUGUAGUAUAUUUUGUCACGAAAUCGCCAAAGGGGGAGAUUGUUAAGGAUUUUAUAGGUUGGCGAAUUUCGUAAAGUUGUUUGGAGUCUUGAAGAGUUGAUCGCAGAAGAUUUUGAGAAAAGAUUCAAAUUGGAGGACAAAGACUCAUUCGGAAAGAUCGACACCUAAGGUAUGUAGAAAAGAUCAUUUGUGGUGAAGAUACAUGAUUAAAAUAAGUUCAGAAGGCUUAGAUUGUUUUUAAACAAAUUUUCUGAACUUUCUUGUGUUCUGGGACCGGUCUCUGAAAUGGAGAGACCGGUUCCCCCAAGGUCCUCACUGCGUAAACCUUGAUGCAACCGGUCCCCUGUGAUGAGAGACCGGUUCCCGAACCUUGGUGGUUCUGUCGCGCAGCGAGGGACCGGUCUCAAGUUUGAGAGACCGGUUCCCGAACGUUGGGUUUUUGGUCACGCAGAGAGGGACCGGUUCCUCACUUGAGAGACCGGUCUCUCACAGACCGGUCUCCUCGAGAGGACCGGUCUCUGAGGACGACACAGGUUUUUAAAAACGACUUUUUGCAAUCCUAGUCUACUUCUAAGUCUUCUAAACAUAUAAAUAAGCUAUGUGGGUCAUCUAAAAUUAAGGCUUUGAAUAAUUUACCAAUUCCAAACCCUAGAAACUUAUUUCUUCCCGUUUCAAUGCUUAGAUUUACAUGAUGAGUUUCUAGCAAUCAACAUCGGCUUGAUUCUUCGUUUUUACUCGAUACUUCUUACGAGAAUCAAGUAGAUGGUUGAUUAAAGGUGAACCCUCAUAGCUUAUGGUUUUCAAAAGUUAAAUCACCACAAAUCUUCAAUUCUACAAGCUCCGGAAGGAGGUUCGGCGCGUGGAUCUCGCGUGAAGCCGAGGAUUCGGUGGACGCUUCGAGGAGUUGAGGCGUUGACGCUGCGAGGAGUUGCAGCAAGGUCGAUUGGUGGAUUCCUAUCGAUCGAGGACCGGCAAAGAUCACCGUCAACGAGAAAUCGGUAAAUUGAGUCGUGUGUUUUUGUCGAAAUCACUUGUACUCAAGUUUUCUUAGUGGAUUUUCUUUGCGUGAUCGGUCCCGUGGGUUUUUCACUCCGAAUUGGAGUUUUCCCACGUUAAAUUCUCGGUGUGCUGUUUUAAUUUCCGCUACUUUGUUUUAAUUGCAUCAAGACUUUCGAGUUUGCCGGAUUUACACCUAUUCACCCCCCUCUAGGUGUUACUUACCUUUUAGAUCCUCGGGAUCCAUAUCUCACACAAUUGCCUAUUUGCACUGGGCAGUCCAAGCACUCAUCGUAAACGUCGAUCGAGUGCCCGGGAGUGUUCACCGACCAAUACUCCUCAUUAUGAGUGAUCUCUAUAUUAUGAGCUUGUGCAAAUGAUGCUAAUAUGAAUGAAUGAGAUGCACCCGUGUCAAAUAUAGUUCUAGCCCUAGUGCCUUUAAUUAGAAUAAUACCUGCCACGACGUCGUCGGGAACGAUAAUUGGUGGCUCCUCCACCUGAGUGGCAAAUACCUGCCCACUAGGUGCUCGAGAGGCCUCCGGCUGACGAGGUGCCGACGAUCGUCCAGCAGAUGUCGCGGGUGGCAGUCCCGCCAGCUGUCGCUGAGUGUACUGAACUGAAGCUGAUGACGGAGCUGGGGAUGCGCCGCUCCGGCACUCUCGGCUCAUGUGUCCCGGUUGGCCACAUCGGUAACACCGCCCCUCCCGCUGCGGGCAAUUGCUGGCCCUAUGCUCUUCGCCGCAUAUCACGCACGGGUAGGUAAGCUGGCCCUGUGUCUGACUCCUACCUCCCCGCCACUGUGAUCGCUGAGGUCGCGGGGGUCGCUUAGAACUCGACUGACCCGCCGAUCCACCAGCAGGUCGCUUCUUAGCCUUCUCCCUUUCCUUAUCCUUCUCAAAUGCCUCGCGUUCGUCACGCGCAAUGGCAUUUCCGCGCUCCACCCAAAGCGCGCGGUCAAGAACCUCCUCAUAGGUCUUCAAGCGGAAUGCAUGAAUGACCUUGAAAAUCUCGGGUCGCAACCCGCGCUCAAAUACCUCCGCUCGGUCCCUAUCGCUGUGAACCAAGUCUGGCACGCAGUUAAUCAUGUGCGUGAACUCCCUUUCGUACUCCCGCACCGUUCGGCUUCCUUGCCUUAGUUUUCGAAAAUCCUCCUUGAUUUUCCUUUUGUCACUCUCGGGGAAAUACUCCAUAAGCAGCAUCUCCCGAAACGCCUCCCAAGUGAGAAGAGUGUGCCCUAGCGAGCGAUUCUUCUUCGUUUGAUUCCACCACAACCGAGUCGACCCAUCCAAACAAUGAGCCGCCAGGUGAACUUUAUCCUUCUCGAGGGUAUAGAUAUCCUCGAACAACGCCUCCAUCGCGGCCAACCAAUUCUCCGUCACCCACGGAUCCUUCACAUCGCCGUUGAAGGUCGGAGGGUUGAACCGCUUGAAUGCCGUCAGCGCCACCAACGUACGCUCCUGCUCGACCUCGAGCACAUCGAAAAUAGGAACCGAUGAACCCGAUGCCGCCGGAGGAACAGGCGUCACUGGCGCUGCCGCCACCGCAGGAGGUGGUGCUACAGGGGCAGCCGGUGGGGGUGGAUCCCUCGGCACUGAUGCCGCCGCCGCCUGUUGCGCCAUCAUCUCGUGGAGCUGUCCAAUCUGCUCCCCUUGUUGUCGCAUAGCCCCGGCCAAAGCCGCUACCUGGGCUCGCAACUCGCAUACUUCGUCCGACCUCGACUGCUCGGGCUCCUCCCGAGGCUCCGCCCGUGUGGACCUCGUAACUUUCCUUGGUGGUGCCAUCGCGUCCUGUAACGCAAUGCACACACAUUAGCACUCGACACACGUGACCCUUACACGUUCCAAGUUGCUACCCAAUUAAGCGAAAGCACAAGCCUAAUUAUUUUCACUCUCGGUGUUAUGUGGUCGGCCGCCCCACAAGGUUCUUUAAGUAGACAACAAUUAAGCCUCCUAGUCCAUCUCUACUUCCUUCUAGAGAACUGUUACUACUGACCCAAUUAUUUGCUUUCGCAUAAACCAAGUCCACGUUAAACGUUUCCUAAACCCCUAAGGUCUACAAUUUCCUAGGGUUUCUAGGUCAUCCCUAGACUUUUGCUUUCCGCUUCGCUCUGAUACCAUUAUAUCUGUCACGCCCCAAUCCCCACCAAUUUGGUUGGGUUCGGGUCACGUCAACAGACGCCGAACGGACAGAGCCUCCCCUGUCCGCCCAAGGCUCUAACAACAUGUAUAAAUAGGCAAUCAACAAGAGAUUUGCAUAUAUAAUACAAGGCUUGCACGAGGGCAAGCAACAACGAAAGCGAAAUCUCUAAGUUAAUUAAGCAACAUACAUGAUAUUUGAUUACAUUUAAACCAAAUUCAAGUAAAACUAUUACAUUUUUCCAUCAUAUCUUUUUACAUUUAGUCAUCCACCAAAUACAUGAUUGAUUACACUUUGCAUCUCUAAAUCAACAAAAUAAAGUUGAUACAUGUAUAUCAAAAAGGAAUGACUACAAAAUGUAUAGUCCCGGUGGCCGCUACCUACGGCGCCAAACCCUUGCCUCGGUCCUCCGCUGCCCCGCUCGUGCCAGGACCUGUAGGGUUAGUGGUGUGAGAACUACAACGAAGUUUCUAGUGGGUUCGGCAUCCGACCUCGCCGACUUACCCACUAGGUCUAUCCAGGCAUAAGUAUUUCAAGGAAAGAAAAGUAACCGGUACUAAUGCAUCUAAUACUAUGCCUGCAGAAGAAUAUCAGUGGAUUCAAAUACUCAAUGCGAUAAUAGAAAAUGCAUGCAUGCUCAAAUCACAAAUAAGCUUUGGCUCUUACCCAAUCUUACUGGUUAACCUUGUUAACCCCAAUAACUCACCACUCAAAAUCCCUUAAUAGCGGGGGACUCGAACCUCCCUAGGGACCGUCAUCUGGGGGACUUUACCACGCCCAGUGGUGACCAACUCCGGAGCGCACCGCUCGAGGGGGAGCGACCUCCCUCAAGCCAAGACGAAAUGUGAGUAUUGAUCUAAUCCUCAACUUGAGGAUUCAUAGCCACUAGUCACAAUGCCAAUGUCAUGAUAGGUCGCUACCUAUUCAUUCUUGCCACUCUCAAGGCUUUACCUUUGACAAUGUCACAAUUGGUUAAACUAUGUUUAACGGUUCAUCUCUCAAUGCCAAUUUUGUUUCUAUGUCAAUGUCACCAUUGUUUUCUAUUGUCCAAGUCCAACCUCACAUUCACACAACUUGAGGGUCCGAUCACACAUGUCCAUUUUGGUUCUAUCAUCCGCUAUGUUCAACUACGUUAGAAGUAUAUAAAUGAAGUCAAACCAAGUUCCACAUGUAUCUACCCUACUAUGCAUGAAUGGGUAUAUAUAAACAUAUAUGCUCAAGAAUAGAGAAAACAGACAUAGAAGGGAAUUCAACGAUUCCCGCGUGCACCCCCCACCUCUAUUGGUCGUGUGGGUGUAGAAUAUGAAGGCUCCCGCACUUUACGAAAGCCGAUUCCGCGCCCUAUAAUCAAAAUAGUGCCAUAUUAGGCCCCUUUGUACAUGAGCUAUACUCUAACAUUUUCGCAACGUUAAACGGAGUUGUCCAACGUGUUUAGGGCACCCCCAAUUAGGUUUCUACGGGGUUAAUUUGUCCCCGAAAAAUUCUAAGGCAAAAGCCCCAAUUUUCAAGCCCUAAUUUUGUCAUUUAGGGUUUUCCCAUGAAUCGAUCCCAAUCCUAAGCAAACAAUAGUUUAGAAUCAUCUAAGAAGCACUCUAGUAAGGUUUUUAGACCCUUGGUACCAACCCUAGGGCUCCAAACACCACUUCCAAGGAUUCACCAUGAGAGCACUUUGAGCUCUCAUGGGUACCAUGGUAUACAUGGCUCAAAAGAGCCUCUAAAGCCUCUAAGGAGCACAAAGCUCCAAAUCCCUAACCCAAAAUCCAAAUCCUAGAGGAAAACCUUACAAAACUUACCUCUAGUCCAAGCUCCCCCAAGAUCUUUCUUGUUGGAGAGCUUCUAGAACCUCCAAGGCGCCAAAUCCACCUUCUUCUCCAAGUUCUUCUUCUUCUUGUAAUAUACCGAAAAUUCGGAAAAUAAAUAUCGAACUUUAGUCAAAUUGACCAAAGUGCGAGGAUGGUACACUUCGGAAAGUCCGAAGGUGUUAAAACGAUCAAAAGUGUGUUGUGGAAGGUUUUCGAGAGCUAAAGAAUCAAAUUCAGCAAAACUGCAGAUUUUCAGCUCUCGGGGACCGGUCCCUGGUGGGAGAGACCGGUUCCCGAACGCGUAAGUAAUGAGACAACCGAAAAAAUGGCUAAGUCCUGAGAAAUUAGCUCUCGGGAACCGGUCCCUGCCUGAGAGACCGGUCCCCGAGAGACCGGUCCCCCAAAGAGAGACCGGUUGCCCUGCGCGCAGCAGCUCUGGCUGCGCGGGGAGAGCCUUCGGGAACCGGUCCCUGAAGGAGAGACCGGUCCCCGGCUGCGCGAACUGCCCAGUUCGAGCAGUGUAUUAAAGUGAAAGUUGAGGGGUUUAUUUGCAAUUAUGCAACCCAAUAGCUAUGUUAUGAGGACUAAUGAAAUUUUCUCUCAUUCUCACCCUCUCAAACACUCUCUUCUCUCCCUCUCUCUCUCUAGAAGGCAAAGGAGAAGAAGAAAGAAAGAAAGAAAGGAAGGACGGAAAAGAAGGGAAAGAAGGUGAAGAAGAAGAUCAAGAGGUGAAGCAACUUCAUUUUCUUCCUCUCUAGUGCAAGAAAGGAAAGCUUAUAAGGUGAGCUUUGAACCCUAUUGUAGUAAAACCCUAAAAUUUGCUUUGAAUAAACCUAGAAAUGGUUUUAAUGGAUUGUUUAGAGUCUUUGAAGCUUUCUUUUUGCUUCUUUAGAGAUCAAAGCCAUGGUUUAGCUUGAGGUGAGCUUUGGCCACCUCUAAUGGUGAAAUCCAAACUAGGGUUUGGAAUGAGCUAGGAAUGGUUUAGAUGAACUCUUUAGAGUAUAUUGAAGCUACUUUUGCUUCCCAAUGAGAGCAAACCCUAGGUUUGAUAUAUGUAUUGGAGCUAGGGCACCAAAUUGGGGCUUUUGCUCAUGGGGAUUUUUAAGUGCAAUUGACCCUCUAAAAACCUAAUUGGGGGUAUUUCCGACGCGUUGGUGCGCUCGGAUUAACGUUACGAAAAGUCUAUAGAAAGAUAUGGGAAAAAUGGCCUAAGUUGGCUUCGUUUUGCCGCAGGUGAAGAACGAGGAGCCUAUAAAUCUCAAGAAAAAUCAUUGGAGCACCUAAAUAGACCUACAAGGUGGGUGGUGCUUCUCAAACUCAUUGAACUUCUCUCUAUGCCUAAUGUGUCAUUCAUUUGAGCAUGUAUAUAUAUUGUUGCAUGCAUUUUAGGGUAAAGUAAUGAUGAAAAAAUAUAAUGAUGCACGAUUGUGAGUACAACUUGCAUAAUAUGAUGAAUGAGAACUAUGUAAACGUCGAAAACCCUAUGUGUAUGCAUGAGAGAAUAGUGAGCACCCAAAGUGAGCAAAAGAACAGAGUGACACAAUGACAUAGAUCGAGUGGCAUUCGAUAAAGUUAACGUAAAAUGAUACUAGAGAUAGUGUGAGGUAAAGAACCAAUGUAAUGUAAAGAAUGAUGAAAAUGACAAUGCUUAAAGUUAAAGUAAUGUGGGAAGUAAAGAACAUGAAGUGCUAGAGGUAGCCAAAAAUAAAGAAUUGUAAAGAAUGUGUUCGCAUGAGUUUGCAACAAAAAGUGAUGAAAGAACACUAGAGCUAGUGUAAAGUCAAGAUUGAACUUAUAAAUCCUUUGAGUUAAGGAUAUGAUCAUACUUGCUAUGAGUUCCGUGCUCGAGGGCGGUCGCUCCCCCUCGGGCGAUGCGCUCCGGAGUUAUGCAUCACGGGUUGGAGUAAACCCGAAGGACGGUCCUAGCGGGUGAGUUCCUGCGAUGAUGGACUUAAUGUGAAGCAAGUUAAUGUGGCGAUACCCCCGGGUUAGCCUUGAGAUUAAAGAACAAAGUGCAAAGAACAAAGAACAAAGAACAGAGAGUAAAAUGAAAAGAACAAAGAAUUUGCAUAAUCUGCAUUUAUUUAAUGUUGAGCAUACUCCUUGCUUUAUUGUUCAGGCAUAUUAGCAUCAUGUAUAGAUUGGUUACUAUAUGCAGCUUAUUCCUUCUAUUAUGCCUAAGUUAGUCCUAGUGGGAAAGUCGGUGAACUUGAGGCCGAACCCACUGGGAACUUUGUUGUAGUUCUCACCCUACUAUUCCACAGAGCCGGGACCGAGCGAGCCGGUGAGCGACCGAGGUAAAGGUUUCGCGCCUUAGACAGAGGCCACCAGAGUUGAGUUGGGGUUUACAUUUUGUUAGUAGAGUACCCUAUGAUCAUCUUUUGUAUUUGAUGACUAGUGAUGUAAAGAAAAGAAUGUAAUGUGUAUUUUGAAGUAAAUGUGAUGUUAGAAAGAAAUGAUGAAAUGAAAUGUAAGGAAUUCGAAAAUGAUCAAGAUGAAUGCAAUGUAUAUGAUCAAAAAUGAAUCAUAGUACAAGUGAAUGUUUAGUUUUCCUUUCUUUCACUAAUGGCUAUUGCUUACCCUCGUGUAAACCGUUUGUGUAUGUUUCCGCUAGUGCAUUUCUUGUUUGAAUUUGUACAUGUGAUGAGCCUUGGGCGGAUAGGGGAAACUCUGUCCGUUCGGCGUCUGUUUGACGUGCUCGGGUCGGGCCAAAUUGGUAUCGGUCCCGGGGCGUGACACUUCUUCUCCAAGCUCUAGAGGGGUUCUAGAGAGAGAAAGAAAGGAAAUGAGAGAGGAGGAGAGAAAUGGCUGUGCGAGAGAGGGGAUGGGCCAUAUAUAGUGUUGUAAUAAUUGCACUUAUGCCCCUCCAUUUGUUUCCCCUGAUCUGCCCAGACUGGGCAUUUUUUGCCUUCGGGGACCGGUCUCCUCAACCAGGGACCGGUUCCCGAACGUGGGUGUUCCAGGACUUAAUCAAAUUUUUGAGUUUUUCAGUUGUUGCGAAGCGAGGGACCGGUCUGCCCGUCAGGGACCGGUCUCCCGAGGACCGGUCUCACCACCAGGGACUGGAUGCCUCAGGAUUUCCAGGCAGGCUACGCGCACGGGGACCGGUCUCUCCUUCAGGGACCGGUCCCCGAGAGCUCAAAAUCUGGGACUUAGCCAGAUUUUUAGAUUUGCUCUCCGGGUCCCUUUUAGCUCCGUUUAUGAACUCUAAUGCACUUAUGGUCCAUUCUAACUCGUUCAAUUCCGCGUUCCGCUCGUUUUGACGGAACUCGGCACGAUUUACGAGGGAUGUGGUAUGUUACAGCUCUUAUCUCACCCGUCUCAUAUCUCAUGGCCAUAGGUGAAGAGCUACCCCGCUCUAAUCUCACCCUUGCUAGUAUCUCAAAUCUCAAAUGUAAAGAGCUACCCCGCUCCAAUCUCACAGGUAAAGAGCUACCCCGCUCAAAUCUCACAGGUGAAGAGCUACCUCGCCCUUCGCCUGACUCACUUUCCAGUCCAAUAGGUGAGGAGCUACCCCGCUCGUAUCCCACCCGGUGAGCUACCCAGCUCGUGUGACAACUCCGGAGUGCACUGCUUGUGUGGAGCGACUAUCACAAGCCCAAAAUAGAUUAUGUGAGUAUAGCCCAAUCCUCGCCAACUGAGGAUACCCUGUCAACUAGGUUAACAAACACUCGAAAAUCCACCUAACCCUAGGUCCAUGUCAAGUGUCUCAACCACACUAAUCAACUCACACUAGGGAAUUUAACUAUCCCCAUGUUUGAUGCCGUAGUGUCUUAAUUACACUAAUUCUCAUGCAAGGUGUCAUGACUAGGGAAAACUCACCUAUUCCCUAAGUUCAACCCAUAGUGUUCCACUACACUAAGUUCCAAUGCACUCGUCAUGUAUUUACAUUAUCUAUAUGCCACUCGUUCUCAUUAUAAGUGUUUCCAUCACACUAGUUCACAAGUCACUAGUUUUCAUCAUCAAGUCCGAGUUUACCAUUUUCUUAUCACUAUAGGAUCUCAUGUCACAACCUUAAUCCUCAUGCAUUCUAGGUUUAAGUGUCGAGCCCACAAUGCUACACUACUAGACAUGCAUGCAAGGAAGUAGAAAUGCAACUAUACAUACAUCCUAUAAUGCAUAAGAACAAUAUGUGCAAUAUGACCAAAAAUCUAACUCGGACAUAGAAGAAAGCCCAGUUGCUUCAGGAUGGACACCCCCCACCUUUUAUCGCGUUCCGAUUACUCGUCGUCACUUGCAAUCGCCCUCCCGCGGCACUCGGUAUCCGGUUUAGCCCGAUUCUGCAAUCACUCAUCAACCGUGCAUCGCUUCGCAGCCACGGUUAAAAAGGGUCUUCGUUUAUUUGCCGCGGUGCCCUGGUUCUAUUUUCAUGAUUUAUGGACGCCGCCUCGGCCCUCCAGGCGGAAACGAAGUUAAAUCCUCCGCUUCUUCAAUAUCUUAGCACCGGCUCGACGAAUCGCCGAACCGACUUCGUCAAUGCGUUCGUAUACCUAGCAAUUAGGUUUACAUAGGGUUAAACUAGAUCAAACCCAACUAUUUCUCAAAACCUCAAUUUUGAUGCCCUAAAACCUCACUAUUGCAAUAAACCUCAUACAAGUAAUUAUUCAAGCAAUAAAUGAGAUUAGUAACUUCUAGAGCAUUAAUAAGCAUCAUCUAGCCAAGUUCCAAGAGGUCUAAGCCAUGCCCUAGCUAUUCACCAUGAGAGGCUCAAAGAGCUUACCUCUACAAGCAAGGAAGAAGAUGAAGAAAAUGAUAGCCCACCUUCUUGCUCCAAUCUCCUUCCUCUCCUCCUUCUUGUCCCACUUCUAGAGAGAGGGAGAGCUUCUAGAGAGAGAGAGAGAGGGAGUUUCUCUCACUAAAAGGUAGUGGUGUGGUGGCUGUGAAGAGAGAAGGAAGAAAAAAGGGGUCAAACCCCUUCUUAUGCAAAGCCCCUACCAAUAUAUUACAAGUUUGCCACUCAAACUAGGCAUUUUUCGGGCUCAGGGUUCGGACCCCGUAGGUCCAGAAAAUCAGCAUUUUCAGACUUAGCCAAAAUUUCAGCAUUUUCGCCAAUUUUGGUUCGUUUUCGCUCGUUUUCGCUCCGUGAGUCUCCGAUUCGUUUCAAAUCGAACCAAGACUCUCAAAAUAUGUUUUCGAGUGCGUUUACAUCAUCUUUUCAUCCAUGCUAAUGUCGGAUUUAGUUCAUGAUGCAACAUAGCCUUUCGGGUAUCCUUUUCGCGCCUACGCGCACCGAAAAUGCCCGAAUGCUUCCGAAUUUCGCCGGAGCCAUUCAAUGGCUUUCCAAACCAACAUACACCAGAACUUCAUAAUUUUAGAAGUUCGGCACCUUACAACCAGUACACGACCAAUAGUACUGUUUGUACUCCAACCUGGUUUCCCAAAAUCCAAAUAUCUGUUUUCGCGGCUUUCUACUUUGUACUAGUACUCAAACGAAUCAAUACUAGUACUUAAUGAAUUAAUAUUGGUAUUUGGGGAGAGUUUUGCAAAAUUCGAAUGUGGGUUUCAGUUCUUUACAAAUGGGUACCGGUGCUUCUCUAUAAUGCCAAUAGUCAAUGUAAAAACUAUACUUCCAGCAAAAUUGACUCUUUGAACCCUGUUUUUGCACCGAGUUGCGUCAAAAAUAUUUUAAUGCUCUCCAAACCUUAUUGGGACAGUCCCAAUUGCUUUUCAAGCUACUCUUCACUAGAACUCCGCUAUUUGCAGAAAUUUAGUGCACUACAAUGAUGCUAAGGAAGUUGGCCUAUUUAUAGGCCUACAAUAAUAGCAAAAAAGCACCCGUAUAAUCUAUAUACACCACUCAGUCAGAAAUAGGAUUCGGGCGUACGGAACAACAUUCGGGCAUCCCAAACUGUCACGCCCCGGGAUCCUUUUUGAAAGCAAAUUCGAAAUCUAACUAUUUUAAAAAAUCAGAGUAAGCAAAAAACUACCCCUUUUUUUUUAAACCUUGACCCCCAAGGAUGCAAUAGAUCCGCCACAAAUAUAAAAUUUUUUAAAACAAACGGAUAGAGUCUCCCCUAUAUAAUGCUAUAUAUGAAGUAAUCAGAACGUAUACCAUAGAUCGAGACCUUUAUGACCGCCCGCUAGCUACGGCCUCAUGCUGCGUCCCGACCAAUCCCACCUGCGUCACCUGUGGAGAAAUGGGGGUAAGAAACCAACAGGGUCUCCCAGUAGGUACCGCAAGCCGACGAAGGUAAGCGUACUUACCGAUAACCAGGUAUAAUGUAACACAUUGGGCCUUUUCAAAUUGCGAGGUUCGAGUGUUUGAUCUGUGUUCCGAGCCUUUCUACAGUUUCUGGAGGGUCGUUGACAGAGCUCCGACCUAUAGUUCGUGCGCCGAGAAUUGAGGUUGGAAACUUAGCACCAAAAUCCUAAAGUUGGGAUUGUUGGUCUUGUUCUCGGGUUAGCCUCAGCCAAGCUGUGUACCGGUACAGCCUUGAUGGUUGUACCGGUAGAGUCUUGAUGGUUGUACCGGUACACUUGGAAUUUUCUGCCAACCCGAGGCUCGGGUUGCUGUCGCGCAGGAUUUGUACCAGUACACUUUCCCGUGUACCGGUACACUUUACUCUGCGAGCUAUUUUUGUAGAGGGGUGUUUUUGCGAUUGUUGCAACCCCUUUAUAACUCACCCUAGCCCCUUAGAGAGCUCUCUUGACCUGUGAAGAACAAGGUGAGAACUUCCCCCUUUGAUUUCUUCCCCAUUUUUCGAUGAUUUUAGUUGGUUUCGAUCUUCUCCCCUUUUGCUUUUCUUGCUUCUUGUUGGAAUUCCACCAUGAGAGAAGCUUGAAGCUUUUGUUAGAGCUCUUUUGGAGGAAGAUCUUCAACCUUGGAGGACUUGAAACCUUGCUGGGAGCUUCUUGUAAGGUUAGUAAGCUUAAUUUACCCUUUGAUUCAUGUUUUGGGGGAUUUUUUUGAUGCUGAAAUCCUAUAUUGAGAAUUUUAGGGUUAGUAAUGGGGAUUGUGGAUUUGAUACUUUGGGAACCUUAUUGAUAGGUUUAGAAUAUUUGUUUAGGUUGGAUUUGAGGGCCUUUAACUUCCAUUUGGAGAUCGUGUGAGGUUUCUUCGCAUUCGGUGAGUUUUCUUUACCUUUGCUUGAGUUGCUUAAUGUUUGAGCAAUUGAUUGUUCGUAACGUUCGUGUAUCUCUCUUUUCGAUACCUUUAGGGUGCUAAGAGAGUAGCGGGCACCUUCGUCGGCGCAAACGAAGGGCGGCCAAGAGUUUCGGUCGGUUUGGCUUCAUUGGAAUGGGAGAAAACUUCUCCGAUGGGAUUAAACUUCGUCGUAACAUAAAAAUGCAUGCAUAUUCAUGCUAGAUAGUAUUUAUGUGAAUUUUAGAAUACUUAAAAUCCUUAUGUUAUGCAUCAUGAAAAUUACCUCUAUAUAGUAGAGAGAGACACUUGUGUUAUUGGCAUACCCAGGCAUAGCAUUCUAAUAUGUGGAUUGGAAAUCAUGUUUCUUGCAAUGAAAUGGCUUAUGUAAUAUGCCCUGAACUUAGAACUCAUGUUGGGACACAGUGAGAAAAAGUGUCAUAAAGGGGCACUAACCUAGUAAACAGUUAGAUUGCAACAUAGUGGCACUGUGAUAGGCCAUUGAGACAUCGACUAUAUUCCAUGUUUUAGACAUGAUGACAUAGUCAUAGGCCAGUGAGAUACUUGCUACAUUCCAUAUUUUAGACAUGAUGACUUGAGACUUGAGACGGACUUUUACGCUUCCUUGCCAUUGUGCUUAUUCGCACAUGCUUGUGAGGGUCGCUCCCCACAAGCCGGCACUCCGGAGAUAGCCAUCGCGACAUAUGCUUGCCCGUGCGGGAUUGGGCGCCGAAAUGGGAUACCAUGGGGGAGGCUCAUUCCUAGAGUGGGGAUGUUGACUAUCACGGGGCCAUUAGGCACGGGGCAAGCUGGACUACCCAUGGGUAGGUCCUAUGAGAUUUGGAACAAGUGGAACUCAUUUGUAACUGAACAAUUUGACAAGUUAGUAAACAUUGACAAUUUACUAGUUACCUGUGGACAUCAUAAUACUUGCACUUAUGCAUAUUUAUGGUACAGUAGCAUUCUUACUUAUGCAAAUUCAUGCUAAGUAGAGAUAUCAUGUUGUAGUAAACUUUCAUGUUUAUUUGCUUAUUGUUCAUAUUGCUUAAUUACUCGUACUUACCUGCUUAGUUUUCGGGCCUAGUGGCGCAUUACACUAAAGUCAGUAAUUGCCCACUGGGAACUAUUAUUUAAUAGUUCUCACGCCCCCUGUUUUGUGGUUUUUAUUUCAGAGCCCUCUACACCGGUGGAGGCACGGGGUCGCGGCAAGUGGAUCGCUUAGCUAGCUAGCGAGGAGCGUUUCUUUUGCUUAUUAGGUGGUUUACCCUCCUUUUUGUUUGUAGUUGAGAGUGAGAGGCUUUGUAUCCAUGUAUAGAAACCACCAUUGUUAUACUUUUAGCACUUGUGUUUUAGAUGUUCAUUGUACUACCUUAUGGUUACUCUUAGUGAAUUUGUUAGCUCUUUCAUUUGCCUCUAUAUUUCUUAGAAUCUAGAUGUUGUACUAUGCUCUGAUACUCAUAGAUGUCUUUUUAUUAUCACUUUGUUUAUUGUAGUUUUGUAGACGCCUUAUAUGUUUUAGACGUAUGGCGGGUCUGGACACGUACCGGACGGGCUUCCGCUGGGUCCUGGGGUGUGACAUAUAAGUAAAGAAAAUUUUCUUGUAUGCUUCCUAAAGUAGGGUUGGACAAAUUGGAUUGAAAACUUGGUACUUAGAUGCAUGAGGAUUGGGUCGUUAGACAUUGGAAACCCUAUGAAUGCAAUGAACUAGAAUGUGAACUUAGAAAACAUUGUGGAACAUUGAUGACAUGAACUUGGUGGCAUCUUGACUAGUUGUUUGGAUAUAGAAAAUAAGCUGAGUGUAAACAUGAACCUAGCGAUGGAAAGAUGGAUUGGGUAUCCUAUUGUACAAGUAGAGAACAUGAAUAUUGUGUGUCAUGAUUGUACGAGUGAGUUUGUUGUUGCAAUUGCACAGGAUUGAGAUGAGCAUACGAGGGAUUGAAAUAGAUCCUCUGGACUAUACUAGAGAUUGGUAGAUCCCUGUAUGUUGUUACCCAGGUCAGUAGGGUGUCCUCGGGAUGAAAGGACUAGAUCAUACUCAUAUAGUCUGUACUAGGUUUGUGGAGGUCGCGACUCCCAAGCUGUGAGCUUUGGAGUGUCGCACGAAAAAGCGGGCGAGGGUCACGGCGGUGCCUCCCCGGCAGACAGCUAUGGUGGUGGCUCGAGUGUGAAAGACCUCCUCACAUGGCCGGCCAAGGUGGUGGCUCGGGAGUGAAAGACCUCCACCCAACAUGGCCAGCCAAGGUGGUGGCUCGGGAGUGAAAGACUUUCUCCCACAUGGCAGUGUGAGUCAUGGCUUGACCUACGGGUGAGCUGGUGAGAUUGGGUCAAAGAGGAAAGAGAUAGAUUGAUUAAUCAUAUUGUAUCCUACGCCUUAUUGCAUUUGUUGCAUCCUAUGGAGAGAGUGAGAAUAUUAGAGUCAUAUGUUAGGUGACGGGUCGAUCAUACUACCGUUGUGAGUAGCUCAAGGUAGGUGACGAAGCGGUGGAGCUAGUCCCCACGUGGCUGAUUGGGUCGAGAAUGAAUUGGGUCAAGAGUAAGUAAAAGAGCAUUGUUGAGCAUAUUGGACUUUGAAAUUCAUUUCCUGUUAUAAAGGCAUAGUAGUGUUUGUAUUGAUUUCAGUUAUGCAUAGUAUAGUUGUUAUAAUACAUUUUUAUUCUUUUAUCUACUUAUGCCUUAAUAGACCUAGUGAGAAAGUUGAUGAGGUCGAUGGCCGAACCCACUGGGAAUUUUUUUGGUUCUCACCCCUUGUUUUGCAGAGCCAACUAUUAGCGGAGCGACACUGGAUCGAGGCGUGGGCAUUGCGCCCUAGUAGCUGGGUCACCAAGUGUAGGUCACCCGCAUACAAGUAAAUGAAUGUAAAUAUAUUUUGGACAUAAAAAUAUAAUUGAGAGCGAGGUUGUAUUUCGAGGAAGCAUUCAUGUAUUAAUGUAAUGUGAAAAAAUGUAUGUAAAAUAUGUAUGUUCAAAUGUUGGAAUAGUUAGGUUUAAAAUUCUCACUCUUGUGAUAUGCCCUCGUGAAGAACUGUAUUAUAUUACUUUUUCUGGUUGAAAUUCAAUGUACUUGUUUUGUUUACACCUUAGGCGGAUAGAAAAAACUCUGUCCGUUCGGCGGUCUGUGUACGUGCCUGAACCUACCAAAAUGGCGACGCCGGGGCGUGACAGCUCUCGCAUAACUGACUCAAGCUCCUAAAUAGUUUCGCGCUCCUCGUGGUUCUCCUACUGAACGCUCACGUACGGAAUGCUCCAGUUCCGUAGUUGCUUCACCUCACAAGCCAAAAUCUGGAGCAGAGCCUCAUCAUAGCACAGAUCCACCCACAACUGAAUCGUCAUGGGACUAAUGACAUGGGACAUAUCUAGAAUGUACCUUCGAAGCAAGGAUGUCAUUCCCCGCAUGUCACGCCCCGGGCCCGAUGCCAAUUUGGCCCGACCCGAGCACGUCAAACAGACGCCGAACGGACAGAGUUUCCCCUAUCCGCCCAAGGCUCAUCACAUGUACAUUUUCAACAAUAGAGAAAAGCACUAGCGGAAACAUACACAAACGGCUUACACGAGGGUAAGCAAUAGCCAUUAGUGAAAGAAAAAGGAAACUAAACAUUCACAAGUAAUAUGAUUCAUUUUAGAUCAUAUACAUUGCAUCCAUCUCUUACAUUUAGGAUUCUUUGCAUUUCAUUACAUAAUUCCAUCAUUUCUUUCUUACAUCACAUUUUCCUCAAAAUAAGCUUUACAUUCUUUUCUUUACAUUACUAAUCAUUAAGUACAAAAGAUGAACAUGGGGUAGCUACUAACAAAAUGUAACCCAACCUUGGUGGCCUCUGACUAAGGCGCGAUACCUUUAUCUCGGUCGCUCGCCGGCUCGCUCGGUCCCGGCUCUGUGGAAAUAGUGGGGUGAGAACUACAACAAAGUUCCCAGUGGGUUCGGCCUCAACAUCACCGACUUUCCCACUAGGACUAACUCAGGCAUAAUAGAAAGGAUAAGCUGAAAUAUGGUAACCAAUCUACAACAUGAUGCUAAUAUGCCUGAACAAAAGCAAGGAAUAUGCUCAACAUUAAUAUAUGCAGAUUAUGCAAGUUCUUUCGUUCUUUAUCUUUACACUUUGUUCUUUGUUCUUUGCUCUUUGUUCUUUAUUCUUUAUUCUUUAAUCUCAAGGCUAACCCGGGGGUUUCGCCACAUUAACUUGCUUCACAUUAAGUCCAUCAUCGCAGGAACUCACCCGCUAGGACCGUCCUUCGGGUUUACUCCAACCCGUGAUGCAUAACUCCGGAGCGCAUCGCCCGAGGGGGAGCGACCGCCCUCGAGCACGGAACUCAUAGCAAGCAUGAUCGAUAUCCUUAACUCAAAGGAUUGUAUGUUCAAUCUCGACUUUACACUAACUCUAGUGUUCAUUACGUCACUUUAUGUUGCCACUCUAGCAAUCAUGGAUCUUUGCAUUUCUUUUACUUUUGCUAACUCUAGCAAUCACUCUCUUUACUUUUCUUUUACCAUCUUUAGCGUUCCUGUUCUUUACAUUUCUCGUUCUUAUUGCCCCUCUUUACUUUAACUUUACACAUUGUCAUUUUCAUCAUUCUUUACAUUACUUUGGUUCUUUGGCUCACACUAACUCUAGUGUCACUUUACUUUACGUUUUCAAAUGCCACUCGAUCUAUGUCAUUGUGCCACUCUGUUCUUUUGCUCACUUUGGGUGCUCACAUUUUCUCUCAUGCAUACAUUUAGGGUUUUGACAUUAUUAGGUUCUCAACCAUCUCAUUAUGCAAGUUGUGCUCACAAUCAUGCAAUCAUCACAUUUCAUCAUUUCUUUACCCUAAAAUGCAUGCAACAAUAUAUAGAACAUAUGCUCAAAGAAUGACACAUUAGGCAUAGAGAGAAUUUCAAUGAGUUUGGAAAGCACCACCCACCUAUAGGUCCUUAGUGGCUUCCGACGAUUUUCUCGAGAUUUUUAGAUCCUUCGUUCUUUACCUGCGAAACGAAGCCAACAUUAGGCCAUUUUUGCCCAUAACUUUUCAUCGGCUUUUCGUAACGUUAAUCCGAGCGCGGCACCAACGCGUCGAAAACCCCAAUUAGGUUUUUAGAGGUCAAUUGCACUUAGAAACCUCAUGAGCAAAAGCCCCAAUUUGGGUGCCCUAGCUCCAAUGUAUAUCAAAACCUAGGGUUUGAUCUCUUGGGAAGUAAAAUAGCUCACAUACUCUAAAUAGUCCAACUAGAACCAUUCUUAGCCUUCCAGAAACCCUAUUUGAUUUCACCAUGAGAGGUUCCAAGCUCUCCUCUAAACCAAACCAAGGUUUUGAUCUCUAAAGAAGCAAAGAGAAAGCUUCAAAAACUCUAAACAAUCCAUUAAAACCAUUUCUAGUUCAUUCAAACUCAUUUCUAAGGUUUUACUAUAUUGAGGUUCAAGCUUACCUUGUAAGCUUCCUUUUCUCGCACUACGAGAGGAAGAAGAUAAGCUCCUUUGCUCCUUGAUCUUCUCUCACCUUCUUCCUUCUUCUCCUUCUUCUUCUUCCUUUCUUCUUCUUCUCUUUUGUCUUCAGAAAAGAGAGAGAUGAGAGAAAAAGUGUUUUGAGGGAGAGAAUAGAAAAAGGCUCUCUCAACCCUCUACAUAACCCAUGGGUUGCCAAAAAUGCAAAUAAACCCCUCAACUUUUAUCUCUGUGCACUGCCUGGACUGGCAGUUUCGCAGCAGAGACGUUCGCCCGAGCAGGGACCGGUUCCCGAGGUCCACCUGCGCGGGCCAGAGCUGCCGCGGCGAAUGCCCGUCCCUCCUGUGGACCGGUCUCCGGGACCGGUCUCAUCGACAGAGACGGUUCCCGAGAGCUAACUCCUCAGGACUUAGCCGAUUUUUCGGCUGUCCACCCUUCAUACGCGUUCGGGACCGGUCUCUCCCACCAGGGCCGGUCCCCGAGAGCUUAAAAUCUGCAGUUUGGCAGAAUUUGAUUCUUUAGCUCUCGAAAACCUUCACAACUCACUUUAAUGCAUUUUAACACUUCGACUGUUCCGAAGUUUCCAUCCUUCGGCACUUGUCAAUUGACUAAGUUCGAUAUGUAUUUUCCGAAUUUUCGGUAUAUUACAGCGACUUUGUCAAUUUGUCCCCAAUCGGCACGCAAACAGCCCGAACGACAUGAGUCUCCUUGCCCGCCUAAGGCUCCACAUAUCAUACAUGAGUUUUUGCUAGGAAAAAUAUUAAUUACAUAUUGCGUGAAGGAGCAAUAAAUAAAGCAAAGAGAAGAUUAGCUAACUAUUAAAUAUCAUUUGAACUCACUGUACAAAUUUCACAUAAGUACACAUUCUGCAUUCAUAUAUAUACAUGGUUCAUUUCUACUCUACAAGUUUAUCCGCAAAUAUAAAAUAUCUCUCUCCAGCAUAUACAUAAUAUUACAAUAUAUAUAUAUGUAUAUAAUAGCAUAUAAUAAUAUAUAUAUAUACACUAUAUAUAUAUAUAUAUACAUAUAUAUAUAUACAUAUAUACAUAUAUAUAUACAUACAUACACUAUUAUAUACAUAAUACAUAUAUAUACAUAUAUAUACAUACAUAAUAUACAUACAUAAUAAUAUAUACAUAUAUACAUACAUAUACAUACUAUACAUAUAUAUAUUACAUAUAUACAUACAAUACAUAAUAUAUACAUAACAUAUAUAUAUACAUACAUAUAUAUCAUACAUACUAUAAUAUAUAAUACAUAAUAUUACAUACUUAAUAACUAUAUAUACAUAAUAUAUAUGUAUAUAUCUAUUACAUUAACAUACUAUAACCUUAACAUAUAAUAUUAUAUAUACAUAUACAUAUACAAUAUAUAUAAUAUGUAUUAUAUGCAUAUAUACAUAUUACAUAUACAUAUAUAUAUAUAUAUAUAUAUUAUAUGUAGUAUUAGUAUAACAUAUAACAUCAUACAUAUAUAUAUAAUGUAUAUUAUAUUAUAUAUGUAUUAAUGUAUAUACUAUAUACAUAACAUAUAUAACAUACUACAAUAACAUAUAUGUAUAUGUAUACUAAUGUACUAUACAUAAUCCUAUAAUAUACAUCAUAGUUAUAAAUGUAUUAUGUAUAGUUAUACAAUACAUAUACACUAUACAUAAUAUAGUUAGUAUAUUAUAUGUAUAUAUAAUAUAUAUAUUAUAUUAUAUAUAUAUAUAUAUAUAUAUAUAUAUAUAUAUAUAUACAUAUAUAUAUAUAUAUACAUAUUGUUGGUAGCCGAAAUUUUCUGAUCCUUCACCCGGUCAAAGAUCCUCCUCGGGGAGCGCGUCGGUGUGAAAAACAGCUGCGAAUAGUGACCCUCGAAGUUUGCACCCUUUGAUCGAUCAAGCGAUUCGGCUAAUGAGGGAUCGGAUCAGCCGGGUUUGAAAACUCUAUAGUAAAUUCGGUUCGGCUAGAUGAGCCGAAUGUACAGAUCAAGCAAGAGCAAAGUCGGCUGAAUAGCCGAAUAGGUAGACAACACAGGAAUUGGUCGCCUGAAUGAGCCGAAUGCUUUUAUGUAUAUUAAUAAAACAGAGGUGCCCAAGGGGCAUAUAGACUCUGAAAAUCUAGUUUACAACAGAGUGUUCCCGUGGGGGCAUAGAGACUCUAGAGAUCUAACUUAAAAACUACUCCUAGAAAAGCAGUAAAUGCGGGUAAAAAAGAUUACAUAUAGACUACUCCUAUAAAAGCGAUAAAAUUGCAGAGAAAAUAAAGGUGGUCUUCUCGUUCAGGGGGGAGAAAGACCCUAUUGCAUGCUUCGAAACUACUAUUUAUAGUAAUAUCAACCACAUUAUUGGUUGGUUGAAAGUAGUGGGGGGAGUGGUUGUAACCAUAAUCUUGGAAGUUACGCCCACUCCUCAUGGAAGUUACGCCCCAUUGUGAAAGUUACGUCCACUUCUCAUGGAAGUUACGCCCUACUUCUCAACCGUUCUCGCCUAAAACUUUCAGGCGCCUUAUUGCCGACUCUUGGUGUACCACGUGUCUUUAUUGGCUCAUACGUGAGUUACGUCGGCAUGUUAAUUUCAAUUUUGGCAUCAACAAUGCCCCCCCAAUAGUCUUUCGAAUGAACAUUUGGAUGACUAUUGGUGCCAAAUCGACUGCUCAAAUAACACAGCCGAUGUCACGCCCCGGGACCCGGCAAAGGCCCUGCCCGGUGCGUGCCCAGACCCGCCAUAUGCCUGCACAUAUAAGGCGUCUACAACAAAGUGAUAUGAAAGAUAAAAUAAACAAUAACUAACGAUAUCAGAGCAAGCAUGCAGCUAAGUUCUAUCAACAAGCGGAAAUAGAAAGGAAAGAGAAAGAGACUAAACCACUAGAACAUAAAGAAACUAAUACAUCAUAAGUCUCCAGAUACAAAAGUAGGGUGGUCUCUAUAACAAGGUACAAAACUCUCACAACCUCUCCAACGCAAAACAAAAGAGAGGUAGACCACCUAACGCCAAAUCCCUCGGUAGCUAGCUCGAGGCGAAACCUUUCCCGCGAUCCCGAGCCCCUCCCGAAGUGGAAGGCUCUGAAAGAAAACAUAAAACAGGGGGCAUGAGAACUAUAAUUUAUAGUUCCCAGUGGGCAAUUACUGACCUGCACCAACUGCACCACUAGGCCCAAAAGAGAGCAGAUAAAGUUAAUAGAAUUUAACUGCGGUAAAUGAAGCAUAAUAAUAAGAUGCUACUCUACUAUGCCAUAAGUAUGUAGAAUGUCAACAUGAAGUACAUCUACUCUACAUGAACCAGUAUGCCAGUACUUAAACAAAUAUGCUAUGAUGCAACGUGUAAUACUAUGAAGUAUGAUAUAUGUCUCAAAGCCAACUACAUAUCUAGUAUGUACUAUCCUGGCAACCAAGUACACUACGAUGCCAUCAGCGAUACCGUCAAGUAUCCUAUGAAUCUCAAUGUCCGACCCUAUGCCGUAGCAUGUUAAGGAAUCCAACUACUAUGACCUGUCUAGUAGUGAUUAUCAACUUGUUGUUUAAUAUUUUGGUUCAAUCUCAUUCAGGAUCUACACGGGUGUAGUCCGGCUUGUGCCGCCUAAGUGCCUGUGGUAGCCCAACAUUCCUGCCCUUGGAAUGUGUCUGUCCCACUCGACCCCGUAGGCUUCUCAGUACCGCACGAGCGAGCAUAUGUCGCGUAGGCUAACUCCGGAGUGCCGGCUUGUAGGGAGCGACCCGUACAAGCAUGUGCGAAUGAGCACAAAUGGCAAGCAAGCAUGGUCAAAACCUCAAGUACCCAAUCAUCAUGUCUCUAACAUGGUAACAGUCACUAGCAACCCAAAGGUCUAGUACUAUGUCUCAAUGUGAAGGUUAAACCGUUCAAUAAUUUCGAUGUCAAUGACCUUAGCUUUACUAAGUCCAAAUCUCAAGGUGAAGUUCCCACAUUCACUAUGUUUAGUGCCUCUUUAUGACAUUUAAACAUUGCUAUAAUCUAAGCACAUUUCACCUUCUAAGUCUCUUUAUGACGUUAACUUGUUCUAUCAAUAAUAGAUUAAUACACAUGCUCUCUAGCGUGUUCUCAUAUUGCCACAUGUAUGUUCUUUCCAAUGCAACUAUCCACUUGGCAUAAUUUCUCAUAAUAAUAACAUGCAAAUGCAAUUUACAUAUCCAUCAAGUCUAAUGCCGCUUUAUGACAUUAGCUUGCUAAGUCCAUCUCUAGUCCAAGCCUAAUGCCGCUUUAUGACAUUAGCUUACCAUUUGUAUACACUCUAACCUAUGUCACUUAAGGUCGAUAUGACCAACCAUGUCAAGUAUGCGUUCUAAGCCCAAGAGUGUAAUCUAUGUGCCAUAAGCACCAUAUGCAACAUGAUCUUAAUCAAAUGUAAGAAUGCUAACCAUAGGCCCCUAGCCCAACAUGAAAACUCUCUACCAUAUAGAGGUCAAAUAUGCAUUGUAUAUAACAUGUGCAUUUUAAGCAUUCUAAAAUUCACAAAUAAUGCAUCGAACAUGAAUAUGCAUGCUUUUUCAUUUUACAAUACUUAAAUCAUCAACAAUGAGAUUUUCUCAUUAUGUGGCUAGGUCAAACCCACCGACGACAACGGAACCCUUCGAUUGUUCCGAUGAGGGUGUCCACCACUCUCCUAGUACCCUAAAGGUAAGGAAACAAGUGUCACAAGAACCCUACAAACAACACAUAGCUCAAACAUUAAGCUUUUCAAGCUAAGGUGGGAAAAACUCACCGAAAAUGGUGAAUAUCUCUCUUGAUCUCCAAAAGGAGGCAAGAAUCCUUCAAAACCAACCUAAAAGAUGGUUCAAAUAAGAUCAAUCAAGAUCAAAAAGCCUCAACUCGAAAAUCCCCAUUUCUAACCCUAAAAUUCAAAAUCUAGGGUUUCCUCUAACCAAAAUCAACAAAACAUGUAUCAAAUGAAAAAUACAUGUUACUAACCUCUUAAAUAGCCUCAAACCAAGUCCAAAAUCAGCUAGGGUUGGAGGUCUCCUCACAAACAAGCUCCUCUCAAAGCUCCAAGUCUUCAAUCAUGGAGAAAACCCAAUAAAAGCAAAGAAGAGGAGAAGGGAGAGAUCAAAACACCAUAAAAUCCACCAAAAAUGGGGAUCAAACAAGGGAAGGGGAGACUCACCUUGAUCUCCACUGGUUAGGGCUCAAAGAGAGCAGCUAAGGGGGCUGGGGUCACCUAUAUAGGUGUUGUAACAAUUGCAAAUACACCCCUCCCCGAAACAGCCCGAACUGCACUGCGUACCGGUACACGGGUUUGUGUACCGGUACACAUCCCACGAACCAGCCCAACCCGAGCCUCGGGUUGGCGCUCUGGCUGCCAGGGUCGAUGGCUGUACCGGUACAGCCAUCACCGCGUACCGGUACGCCACCCCGAAAUUUGCAAACCGAGAGCAGCCUAAGUCCUCCACUUUGGCGACCUUAGUGCUACUUGAAAUACCACAAUUCUCGGGAUACGAGCCAUAGGUCUGAACACUGUCUACGACCCACCAGAAAAUCUGGAAAAACUCAUAACACCAGCCAUACACUCGAACCUCGCAGUUUGCAAAGGUCCAGUGCGUUACAGCCGAGACCCAAGCUUUAGUUUCGCUGGUCUUGGUCGGCUUAAAGAAAACGACUCUUUAUCGUCCCAGCUGUAUAUACCUCGGCUUCAUCAGCCGAUUCUUUACUUUUAUUUGAUUGGUUCGGGCUCUUCUUGAACCGAAUGUUCUUCUAUCAAGGAUUUUUCCUUGAAGAAAGUGGCUCUCUACCAGCCACAUAUACCUUGGCUUCAUCAGCCGAUUCUUCACUUUCACUUGAUUGGCUUGGCUCUUUUUGAACCAACUAUUCUUCUAUCAAAGAUUUCUCCUUGCCUUUGCUUUGAUUGUUAUAUCGGCUCGAUUGCAACCGAUCGUCCUCUCUUUUCUUCCGAAAUUGCUCAUAUUGGGCAACUCGAACACCUAGAUCAAAUAGGUUAGAAAAAUACUUAUCUUUAAAAUGAUCUUUUAUCUUAAAAUGUAGACUAUUUAACGCCAUUUUGGCGAACUCUGAUUCCGGCAUCUUCAUAAAACACCGAAUUAUGGCUAUUUUGAAACGGUUUAAAUACUCUUCGACCGUUUCACCUGACUUUUGUCGGUACAAAGCCAAGUCGGCGACCGAUAAUUGUGGCUCCGACCUAUAGAAUUGCUCAUGAAAUUUUCUUUCCAAUUCAUCCCAAUCUCGAACAGAAUUGGCUGAUAAACUUAUAUACCAAGUAAACGCCGUUUUAGUUAACGACGUGUUAAAUAAUCGAAGUUUCAAAAAUAAGUCAGUGGCCGCUUCUCUACAUUGGGCCGUGAACCGGGCUAUAUACUCGACCGUAUUCUUGGUCUUAUCGCCUGAGAACUUGUCGAACUUCGGCAUUUUCCAGUUUGCCGGAUAUGGAUGAUCUGCGUCUACAGGCCGCAUUGCCGGCCUGGCCCCUACUCCGAAGGUAUUCUGAACGGCUUCCUCGAUUUGAGCAUAUAGCUCAUUAUUGUUCCCUAUUACGGGAACCGGUGCCUGCGCUUGAGUCGAAUUCGGCUCUGUAGGAAGUCCAUAAUUCUGUGUUGUGGGAUUUGCUCCUUGCAUAACAUUAGGGGCCUGCUUCCCAGCUCUAAUCCCCGUAUUUUGGGGCUGAUAAGCUGGUAAAUUAGGUAAACCCGAUGCAAUCUCCGACUGCGGGCCGGCGUUUAUAUUCGUCGGUCUAUAAGCAGUCUGGAAAGGUGCCAUUUGCGGUUGCGCCUAUGAUGUCACGCCCCGGGACCGAUACUAAUUUGGACCGACCCGAGCACGUCAAACAGACGCUGAACGGACAGAGUUUUCCCUGUCUGCCCAAGGCUCAUCACAUGUACAUUUCGAGUAUAAGGAAAGCACAAGCGGAGACAUACAAAAACGGCUUACACGAGGGUAAGCAAUAGCCACGAGUGAAAGAUAGGAAACUAUGCAUUCAACUAGUACUAUAAUUCAUUUUGAUCACAAACAUGUAUCCAUUUACAUUCAUAAUUCUUUACAUAGUCUUUUCAUCAUUUCUUUUUACAUCACACUUGCUCAAAAUAAACAUAACAUUCUUUCUAUUUCCGUUCUAUACAUUAGCAUCAUAAAUCAUCAAAUAUAUAGAUGAUAAAAGGGAAGCUCCUAACAAAAUGUAACCCAACUCUGGUGGCCUCUGACUAUGGUGCGAUACCUUUACCGCGGUCGCUCGCCGGCUCGCUCGGUCCCGGCUCUAUGGAAUAGUGGGGUGAGAAUUACAAUAAAGUUUCCAGUGGGUUCGGCCCCAACAUCACCCACUUUCCCACUAGGACUAACUCAGGCAUAAUAGAAGAAUAAGCUGCAUAUAGUAACCAAUCUAUACAUGAUGCUAAUAUGCCUGAACAAUAAAGCAAGGAGUAUGCUCAACAUUAAACAUAUGCAGAUUAUGCAAGUUCUUUCAUUCUUUGUCUUUACUCUUUAUUCUUUGUUCUUUGUUCUUUGUUCUUUGCUCUUUGUUCUUUAAUCUCAAGGGUAACCCGGGGGUUUCGCCACAUUAGCUUGCUUCACAUUAAGUCCAUCAUCACAGGAACUCACCCGCUAGAACCGUUCUUCGGGUUUACUCCAACCCGCGAUGCAUAACUCCGGAGCACAUCACCAGAGGGGGAGCGACCGCCCUCGAGCACGGAACUCAUAGCAAGUAUGAUCGAAUCCUUAACUCUAAGGAUUUUAAGUUCAAUCUUGACUUUGCACUAACUCUAGUGUUCAUUACAUCGCUUUAUGUUGCUAACUCUAGCAAUCAAGUUCUUUACAUUCCUUUACUUUAGGCUAUCUUUAGCUUUCUCAUUC